rnacentral:lncRNA from 1 species
GGUGUUUGAGUUGUUGGACAUGGAAGUAGGGGAGUAUUCAGUUUUGUGUCAUUUUAAGAACUGAGUAUAGGUUUGUUUGGAUAUUCAUGGGAGUGUAUGGUCCAUCUUCAGGCAGUAGUAUAGAGAGCUUAUGGGUGGAGUUAGGGGUCAUCAGGGAACUGUGGAAUGAUCUGUGGUGUGUAGGAGGUGACUUUAACGCCGUCAGAUUUCCAAGGGAGCACAAUGGUGCUAGUAGGUUUUCAGAGGCCAUGAGAAGAUUUUCAAAAGUCAUUAAGAAUCUUUAGUUGAGGGAUCUUCCGUUACUUGGGGGAUUUUUUACUAAGAGUGGGGGUUUGAAUAAUCAGUCACAGUCGAGUUUAGAUCAUUUUCUGGUUUCUGAGGGAUAAGAAAGUCAAUUCAGUGAAGUAAUGCAAUAUAUCUUACCUAAACCAGUCUCAGAUCAUGCGCUGAUUUUGUUGGAUGGGGGUAGUCUAAGAAAAGGUGUCACUCCUUUCAAGUUUGAAAAUAUGUGGCUUAAGGAGGAAGGGUUCAAAGAACUGUUGAAGAACUAGUGGAUGGGUUUCUAGGGUAGGGUCCAUACAACUUCGUACUAGCAGAGAAAUUGAAAUUGUUAAAAUCUAAUUUGAAGAGUUGGAACAUGGAGGUGUUCAGCAUUGUUGCAAUAAGAAAGAAUUCGACUCUUGCUCAAGUGGGUUUCUAGGAUUCUAAAGAAAGGUUGGGGGCCUUAUCUACAGAGGAGGUGGUUACUAGAGAGCUGACAAGAUUGGAUUUUUUAAAAUGGACUCUAUUGGAAAAAAUGAGCUAGAGGUAGAAAUUAAGGGAAGUUUGGUUAAAAGAGAGUGAUAGAAAUACAAAGUUCUUUCAUUAGAUGGCAAAUGCAAACAGAAGAAGGAACUCUUUGUCUAAGAUAAAAAUUAAUGGGGUCUUUUUUACAAAGGAAAUUGAGAUUAAGGGGGGGAAUUGUUCGGGCUUUCAGGAAUCUCUUAAUAGAGCCAGGGGAGUGGCACUGACACCCCAACAUUAAGGGUAUGAAUUUUGACAGGUUAAAUGGGUAGGAAGCUGCAAAGCUAGAGGAGCCAUUUGUGGAGAGCAAGGUGUCACCCUUUCAGAUCUGAAUGGGGACAAAGCUCUAGAUGGUUUCUUAAUGGCUUUUUGAAAGUUUAGUUGGGUUUUGUGAAGGAAGAGGCGAUGGGAUUUUUUUAGAGAUUUCCAUAACCAGGGAAGAUUUGUAAAAAGCAUCAAUGCAACUUUCUUGGUUUUGAUUCCUAAGAAAGGGGGGGAGGGGGCAUGGGAUCUUAUAGAUUUUAAGCCUAUAAGUUUGGUGAAUAGCCUUAAUAAGCUAUUGGUUAAAGUGUUGACAAACAUGCUUAAGAAGGUGGUGAGCAAAGUGGUUUCCAAGUUCCAGAAUGCCUUUGUGGAGGGAAGACAAAUAUUAGACGCAAUGCUUAUAGCCAAUGAGGCAAAUGAUUCAAUGCUAAAAAGCAAUAAUGUUAGGGUGUUGUGCAAGUUGGACAUUUUUUUUUUUUGAUAGGAGCAAGUUGGACAUAGAAAAGGCUUAUGAUCAUGUAAGUUAGGAUUUUUUGUUAUCAGUGUUAGAGAAAAUGGGAUUUGGUCAAAAGUGGAUUUGUUGGAGUAGAUGGUGCAUCUCAAUAGUAAGCUUCUCAGUUUUGGUGGAUGACACCUCUUCUGGCUUUCUUCAAUGCUCUAAGGGACCCACUUUCUCUAUAUUUGUUUGUGUUAGCCAUAGAAGCGCUCAACAUUCUAUUAAGGAGGGUGGUUUUUUAUUAGGCUUUAAGGUGAAUGGUAGAGGUGGAGAUGGAUUAGAGGUUUCUCACCUGCUAUUUGCUAAUGAAACCUUAGUAUUUUGUGAGACCUCUCAAGAUCAACUAACCCAUUUAAGUUGGUUACUCAUGUGAUUUGAGGCAAUUUCGGGUUUCAAAAUUAAUCUUAGCAAGAGCGAGAUUAUCCCAAUGGGGAGGUGGAAAACUUAAAUGAGUUGGCCUUUAAAGUGGUUUGUAAGGUGGGUGAGCUUCCUUCUACUUAUUUGGGUCUUCCCUUAAGUGCCCUCAUGACUCUUCAACAGCUUGGGAUGGAGUGGAAGAGAGACUUCGCAAAAGAUUGGCAAUGUGGAAAGGACAAUACAUUUGUAAAGGGGAGGGAUUGAACUCACCCUCAUUUGGAGCACAUUGUCUAGUUUCCUUAUCUAUUUCAUGUCAUUAUUCCAGAUGCCAAGGUUAGUCAAUUUGAGGUUGGAGAAGAUUCAAAAGGAUUUUCUUUGGGGUAAUUUAGUGAAUUGGGCUACUGUUUGUUUAGAUAAGAGUAAAGGGGGUUUAGGAGUUAAGCACCUUCCCUUACUCAACAUGGCACUUCUUUGUAAAUGGAAUUGGUGAUUUGCUACAGAAAGGGAGGCUUUUUAAAGGCAAGUAGUUUGUGGGAAAUAUGGGGAAAAUGAAGGGGGUUGGUCUUCUAAGGAGGUGAGAGGUGCGUACCGGGUUAGGUUAUGAAGGCCAUAAGGAGAUUGGGGGAGUUUUUUUGGUAGUAGAGUCUCCUUCUUAGGUGGCAAUGGGAGGAGUGUAAAAUUUUAGAAGGAUAUUUGGUGUGGGGGUGAGGCAUUGGGAGUUUCUUUUCCCUCAUUAUUUGUCUUAGCUAGCUCAAAGGAGGCGUGGGCAAUGGAUUUAUGGACUCAAUCAAGUGAGGGGGGUGUUUGGUCCCCAAUUUUUUCCAAGCAUCUAAAUGAUUGGGAGAUUGAGGGUUUGAAGCGUUCCUUCGCAAGGCUGAAAGAUAAAGUGGUUAUGGGAGACAAGGAGGAUAAAGUGGUAUUUUGAAGACAAAAGAUGGAACUUUCUCUGUCAUGCCUCUUUACACUUUUAUUGAGCCUAAGAGAUCAGUUUCCUUUCCAAAAGCGGUUGUUUGGAAUGCAUGGGUUCCUCCUAAGGCGUGUUUUUUCACUUGGGAGGCAUCUUGGGGAAAAGUAUUGAUUCUUGACCAGCUUCAAAGGAGAGGAUGGAUAUUGGCUAAUAGCUGUUUUCUUUGUCUUAUCAAAGAGAAGUCAAUUGAUCACAUUUUGCCACAUUGUGAAAAGGCAAGGAUGUUGUGGGAGCUUUUGUUUUCUUUGUUUGGUGUUUCUUGGGUGCUGUCAUCUAAUGUAAGAGAGACUUUGCUAGGGUGGCAUGGCUACUUUGUUGGAAGGAAACAGGAAAAAGUGUGGGAUGGAGCCCCUUUAUGCCUUUUUUGGACAUUGUGGAAGGAAAGAAAUAGAAGAGCUUUUGAUAAUGAGGAUCUUUUGGACCAAAGACUAUUAACCAGGUUUCUUUGUAAUUUGAUGUAUUGGACCAAUUUGUAUAUAGGUGAAGGACCAUUUUCCUUAUUCAACUUCAUUGAUUGGUUGGGUUCUUGUCGAGGGAGGGAGUAUUUUUGUUUCUCUUAUCCUUUUUUGGUGCCUUGUGGCGACCGUUAUAUACGUCCUGUGUGCUUUGGAGUGCCUCUUUGGUGCUUUAUUAAUAUAUUUUGUGCAUUUACCAAUAAAAAAAUGCUAAAAAAUUUACAAGAUAUUUGAAUAAGCAAUUUAAAUCUAUGUUUCAGUAUGUAACUGGAAUUCCAGCAUCUUCCAAUAAACCUUCUUCAAUAUAUUAAUAUUGUCCUAAUAACAAUAUUUCUCACUUUUUGCAUUCAAGCCUACCCACUCCCACUCUGUCGACAUCUGAACUUGGCAAUUAUAGUAUUUAAACUUAUAACUCUGAUUUUAUUGCUAAUUACAACUAGAAUGGUUUGCCUAUGGAAGGAAGAUUCACCAGGAUUGGUGGUUGGAAAUAUUGACAUGUGGCCAAAAUUGGAAUCUCCUCAUAUUAAAAGAACGGGAGGAUCAUUUCCCUGAUCUUGUCCUGAGUAUUUUUCCAAGAUCUACAUUGAAUCACAUCUGUUGAAUAUAAUGUAUUUAUAGUAUAUUAUCUUUCCUUGUUAAUAUAGGUCACAUGUAUGGUAGUUAGGACUCUUAGCCUUGUAUAUAUAUAUCUCUCAAUUGUAAGUAGAUAUUAAAUGAAUGAGAAUUAAGGUUUUUCUCCUUUCUCUCUCUCUCUUUCAACAUGGUAUCAGAGCCAAGGAAGAAAACCUAAUUCUUUCCUGUUUCCCGUGUCAUCAACUCCGGGAAACCUUCCGGUGACUGUGUUUCUUUCCGGUCACCCUCCCCAUCUCCCAACACUUUCCGGUCAGUCGGAUCAUCGUUAGAAACCACUCACCGCCGGCGAAAUUUUCCGGCGAACUUUCCGGCGAACUUUUCCGGCGACCUAUUUUUCCGACACUGACCAUACCAGAAGGAGCGCCUGGAGGAGAUCUCCAACUUUUGUGAAGGCACCGGCAUCAAAAGACGAUCCACGCGCCAUCCACGCGCCAUUUUCCGGCCGGCGACUGCAUCUCACGCGUCGGCGCGUGAGGGCGCGUGAGGCCUUUUCCGGCGACGCGCCUCCUCCUCCAGCCUCGCCUGCCGCCGACCAGCAUCCCUACCUACCUGGUUCUCCCAUCCGAGCCCUGCACGUACCUCUUUUGGGGAUUUUUGUCUCCGUCAGCCCUCCAAACAGCCUUUCCGACGAAGUUCCGGCUACUUUCUCUCCACCCCAAUCCCUGCACGUGCCUUGGGAAGUGUUCUUCUACCUUUCUGGUGGUACCACGUCGCGAUCUGAGGCCGUCUCCCUUUUUCGGUGGUGCCACGCCGCAAUCUGAAGCCGUAUUAGGGCUCUCUUCGAUCCAAAUACGUGAAUAUGACCACCAAAAAUCAGAUCUUUACCUCUGUUAUCUCUGGAUCUCCUAUGAUUACCUCAGAGAAAUUGGUUGGCAGUGAAAAUUAUCUUUCCUGGUCUGCCUCUGUUGAACUUUGGUUUAUGGGUCAAGGAUAUGAGGAUCACUUGGUUACCCAGGAGGCAGAUAUCCCUGAGGUUGACCGCGUACAGUGGAGGAAGAUAGAUGCACAGUUAUGUAGUGUAUUAUGGCAAUCGGUUGAUCCCCGGAUUCUUCUUCAUCUUCAGGCCUAUAAAACUUGUUUUAAAUUUUGGACUCAGGCCAAAGGAUUAUACACGAAUGAUAUCCAGCGUCUUUAUAAGGUGGCUUCUGCUAUUGUCCAUCUCAGCCAACAGGACUUGGAUCUAUCUACUUAUAUUGGUCAGAUUGUCUCUCUUAAGGAGCAGUUCUUGACUGUGAUGCCUCUUACUCCUGAUGUUAGGGCUCAACAAACACAGCUUGACAAGUUCUUCAUGGUCCUUACUCUUAUUGGCCUCCGUCCGGAUCUUGAGCCUAUUCGUGAUCAGAUUCUUGGUAGUUCAUCAGUUCCGUCCUUGGAUGAUGUGUUUGCUCGCCUCCUCCGUAUCUCGUCCACUCAGACUUUGCCAUCUGAUAGCGCUUCAGAUUCUUCUGUGUUAGUUUCUCAAACUACCUCUCGAGGAGGACGCAGUGGUACCCGAGGUAGAGGCCAACGUCCUCAUUGCACCUAUUGCAAUAAACUUGGCCACACUCGCGAUCGUUGCUAUCAGUUACAUGGAAGACCUCCUCGCACUGCCCAUAUGGCCCAGUCCUCUGAUUCUCCGCUGCCUCAGCCUCCGAGCUCCUCCGCAUCUCAGACAUCUCAGGCUUCUAUUGCCUCUGUUGCCCAGCCUGGUAAUGCCUCUACCUGCCUUACCCACACAUCUUCUCUUGGACCCUGGAUUCUAGAUUCUGGAGCAUCUGAUCACCUAUCUGGUAAUAAGGAUCUUUUCUCCUCUAUUACUACUACCUCUGAUUUACCUACUGUUACCUUAGCUAAUGGUUCUCAAACUGUGGCUAAAGGUAUUGGUUUGGCCCUUCCUCUGCCUUCUCUACCUCUCACUUCUGUCCUUUAUACUCCUGAAUGUCCUUUUAAUCUUAUUUCCAUCAGCAAAAUCACUCGUACUCUUAAUUGUUCUAUUACCUUUUCUGAUAAAUUUGUGACCUUGCAGGACCGGAGUACGGGGAAGACGAUUGGCAUAGGACGUGAGUCUCAAGGCCUCUAUCACCUCACCUCAGAUUCAUCUCCUGCAGUUUGCAUUUCCACUGAUGCUCCUCUCCUCAUUCACAAUCGUCUGGGCCACCCUAGUCUCUCCAAGUUCCAGAAGAUGGUUCCUCGUUUUUCCACUUUGUCGUCGCUUCCGUGUGAGUCAUGUCAGCUUGGGAAACAUACUCGUGUCUCGUUCCCAAAGCGUUUGAAUAAUCGGGCAAAGUCUCCUUUUGAGCUUGUCCACACUGAUGUUUGGGGUCCUUGUCGGACUGCGUCUACUUUAGGAUUUCAGUAUUUUGUCACUUUCAUUGAUGACUAUUCUCGAUGUACUUGGUUAUUUUUAAUGAAAAAUCGAGCUGAGUUAUUCUCUAUUUUCCAGAAAUUUUAUACUGAAAUCCAAACCCAGUUCAAUAUUUCUAUUCGUGUGUUACGCAGUGACAAUGCCAGGGAAUAUUUUUCAGCCCAAUUUACUUCGUUUAUGUCUCAUCAUGGGAUUCUUCAUCAGUCUUCUUGUGCUCAUACUCCUCAACAAAAUGGGGUAGCUGAACGCAAGAAUCGACAUCUUGUUGAGACAGCUCGUACUCUCCUCCUCCAUAGUCACGUUCAUUUUCGUUUUUGGGGGGACGCUGUUCUUACCGCUUGUUAUUUGAUUAAUCGUAUGCCCUCCUCUGUCUUACACGAUCAGAUUCCUCACUCCCUUCUUUUCCCUGACCAACCACUUUAUUUCCUUCCUCCUCGUGUCUUUGGUUGUACUUGCUUUGUUCAUAUUCUCACUCCUGGACAGGACAAGCUUUCCGCCAAAGCCAUGAAGUGCCUCUUCUUGGGAUAUUCCAGACUUCAGAAGGGUUAUCGUUGUUAUUCCCUUGAGACUCAUCGAUACUUUAUCUCCGCUGAUGUCACCUUCUUUGAGGACUCACCAUUCUUUUCCACCACUUCUGAGUCUCUUCCUGUUUCUGAAGUCUUGCCCAUUCCCAUUGUCUCCCCACCUGAUGCUAUGCCCCCUCGACCACUUCAGGUUUAUCAUCGUCGCCCUCGUGUCGUUGCUCCUCUCCCUUUUCCUGAGGCACCUGCUGACUCACUUCCUAUCCAUUCGGCUUCACCUGCCCCGGCUCUGCCUUCUCCUAAUGACUUACCCAUUGCUGUUCGGAAAGGUACUCGCUCUACUCGUAAUCCUCAUCCUAUUUACAAUUUUUUGAGUUAUCAUCGAUUAUCUUCACCCUAUUCUGCUUUUGUUUCUGCUAUAUCCUCUGUUUCUCUUUCAAAGAGCACCCAUGAAGCUCUUUCCCAUCCAGGCUGGCGACAGGCAAUGGUGGAUGAAAUGGCUGCUCUGCACUCUAAUGGCACUUGGGAUCUUGUUGUUUUACCCUCUGGUAAAUCUACAGUUGGUUGUCGUUGGGUCUAUGCAGUUAAGGUUGGUCCUGAUAGUCAGGUUGAUCGCCUUAAGGCCCGCUUAGUUGCUAAAGGCUAUACUCAAGUUUAUGGUUCUGAUUAUGGUGACACAUUCUCACCUGUUGCCAAGAUUGCUUCUGUCCGCUUGCUUCUCUCCAUGGCUGCUAUGUGUUCUUGGCCUCUUUAUCAGUUGGAUAUUAAAAAUGUCUUCCUUCAUGGUGAUCUUGCCGAGGAAGUUUAUAUGGAGCAACCUCCUGGUUUUGUUGCUCAGGGGGAGUCUGGUUUAGUGUGCAGGUUACGCCGUUCUCUAUAUGGCUUGAAACAAUCUCCUCGAGCAUGGUUUAGCCGUUUUAGUUCUGUUGUUCAAGAGUUUGGCAUGCUUCGCAGUACAGCAGACCAUUCAGUUUUUUAUCAUCAUAACUCCUUGGGGCAGUGUAUUUAUCUGGUUGUUUAUGUGGACGACAUCGUCAUUACAGGCAGUGAUCAGGAUGGUAUUCAGAAACUAAAGCAACAUCUUUUUACCCACUUUCAGACCAAAGACUUGGGGAAACUCAAGUAUUUCUUGGGAAUUGAGAUAGCUCAAUCCAGUUCUGGUGUGGUCCUUUCCCAAAGGAAGUAUGCUUUAGACAUCCUGGAAGAAACCGGUAUGUUAGACUGUAAACCGGUAGACACACCUAUGGAUCCGAAUGUCAAACUUGUACCAGGACAGGGGGAGCCUUUAGGAGACCCCGGGAGAUAUCGACGGCUCGUAGGUAAAUUGAACUAUCUCACCAUUACUCGUCCAGACAUUUCUUUUCCUGUGAGUGUUGUUAGUCAAUUCCUACAGUCACCAUGUGAUAGCCAUUGAGAUGCCGUAAUCCGUAUUCUUCGAUAUAUCAAAAGUACACCAGGCCAAGGUGUAUUGUACGAGAACAGAGGUCAUACUCAAGUUGUUGGUUACACAGAUGCAGAUUGGGCUGGCUCACCCACAGAUAGACGUUCCACUUUAGGGUACUGUGUUUUUAUUGGAGGUAAUCUAAUAUCUUGGAAGAGUAAGAAACAAGAUGUAGUGGCCAGAUCUAGCGCUGAAGCCGAGUAUCGAGCUAUGGCUUUGGCAACAUGUGAACUCAUAUGGUUAAGACAUCUUCUUCAGGAGUUGAGAUUUGGAAAGGAUGAACAGAUGAAACUCAUCUGUGAUAACCAGGCCGCAUUACAUAUUGCAUCCAAUCCAGUCUUUCAUGAAAGGACCAAGCAUAUUGAAGUUGACUGUCAUUUCAUUAGAGAGAAGAUCGCAUCAGGAUGUGUUGCUACAAGUUUUGUCAAUUCAAAUGAUCAACUAGCAGACAUCUUCACUAAAUCUCUCAGAGGUCCUAGGAUUAAAUAUAUUUGUAACAAGCUUGGUGCAUAUGACGUAUAUGCUCCAGCUUGAGGGGGAGUGUUGAAUAUAAUGUAUUUAUAGUAUAUUAUCUUUCCUUGUUAAUAUAGGUCACAUGUAUGGUAGUUAGGACUCUUAGCCUUGUAUAUAUAUAUAUCUCAAUUGUAAGUAGAUAUUAAAUGAAUGAGAAUUAAGGUUUUUCUCCUUUCUCUCUCUCUCUUUCAACAACAUCAUAUCAUGCUAGAUUUUGGAGACCUAGAACAAAGUAAGCCCUUUCAUGUUGACAAUAUGUGGGCCAAAUCCAAGGGCUUUGAGGACAGAAUAAAAAAAGAGAUGGAAGGUCUAUAAAUUUUAUGGGAAUUUGAAUUUCAGGUUGAAUAAGGACAUGAAAGCACUGAAGGAAAAUAGAAAGAGAUGGAAUAGACACAUCUUUGGAAAUGUUGUAAUAGAAAAGGAUAUAGUGUCAAACAAAAUUUGAGGGUGGUACCCAAAAAAAAAAAUCCAUAGUGUCAACAUAGACAAUCAGUUCAGCAAUAUCACCCUCCAAUUUGAUACUUUAGGGGGGCACAAAAAACCUUCAUAUAGAAACUCACCACAUCAUAAUUUAUAUUAGCUCUGUAAUAUAAAGAUCCAUAUUAAAAGACAUUAAAAAUUAUGAUAGUUUGGGUAAUGCUCCAGUGGAUCCUGGAAAACAUAAACAAGAGAAGUUUACCGUUUCUCCUGGCUCAAGCAGGUCGGCAAUACGUCUCUUUAUUUUUCCAAUAGCUGCUGUUGUAAGGUCUUGGGUGUCAUCUUCAACUUUUGUCACCAUAUUUCUUUUGUCAAAUUUUGGUUCAAGAUCAACACUAUCAAGCCAUGCAUCCUACAAUAACUCAAAUAAAUUUUAUAAAAAGCUUUUAACUUGUCCCAAAAUAUUGUCAUAAAUGGUUUUUAUUCUAUAGUUGAAAAUUGAAUAUAGACUAACUAUAUUGUGUACCUUAAUUUCUUUCUCGUUUACAUAUUCCACAAAAUUUCCCUCUGAAUCAAAGUAGCCUUCUUCCCUCUCUUGAUUCAGAUUAAAAGGUUCUAUUUGAAUCCCAUCAUCAUCAAAGUUCUCAUCACCCUGCCAAAAUAAAUCCCCCGUCAUUGCCUUUCCUUGGACCCAAUAACUGAUGAAACCGGCAGUUAUCGAAACUGUAAAAAUGCUGCCAAUCCAAGGAAAGGAACAUUUUAAUUAUAAAUAUACUGAAAUUAAACAGCAUAUAAAGCACCAUAAAUAAACAUGUAGUUGUAGAGAGUUAAACCUGUAACAGAGAAGAAAAUGACAUAAAUACCAAUUUCUGCUCUCAGAUUAGAGUACUAAAAAACACCUUGUAGAUCAGCUGAUAAAAUGAAAAAAAUAAUAAUAAUAAUAAUAAGAAAAAGACAAAUUGAAUAUACUUUGACAAAUGAGUUCAUAUUGGACACUGUAAGAGCAAAAAUCAAGGAACUAGAAUGUGCAAAUCUAGAUAACAACAAUCAAAAAUCAAAGAAAAUGAAACACAAUGAAUAAGUUAUGUGCUUGUGCUGACUUAAUGCUUCCAGGAUCAAUUGCUGUCAGAUCACAUCAGAAUGAGAAAAUCGUUCUGUAGAUAUGUCCUUAUGAAUUCUUUCCAGAAUGACAUCAGCUCAUGCUCCGAACUGCCCCAAACUUGCUUGACAUUGAUGGAUUAAGAAUGGGAAUAAGGUUGUGUGUGUUUGAAGAAUGUGGCUCAAGGCAGAUGAUUUUGUCAAUAGAACAGCUUGGUGUGAAAGCUAAAAGUCCACUGGUACUUUAAAGUUUUAGGUUGGCAAAGAAGGUGGAAGCUGACAAAAAUGUUGACAAAUGGAAAAGAGAAGUUUAUGGUAGUGUAACAGUUACAAGGCAAAAAGAAAUUAAGAAUUGGGACAUAGAGGGAAAGGGAAAUGGGCCUUCCAGGGAGAUUUUUUUUUUUUUUUUUUUUUUUUUAAGUGGAAGAAAAGAAAUUGUAUUGAAAAGAGACGCUAAAAUAGCAACUCAAAAAAAUACAAAAGAGAUGCACCCUCCUCCCUGGUUGGGACAUAAAAACAGCCGUCAAAAGCAGAGGAGCCAAAAAAACCACCCUCAUCGAUAUCCCACCCAAUCAAUGAAACCAACUAAAGUCGAAGGACCAUCUUUUAUGAACAAUUUCAUCUCUGAUCAUAUAAAAUAAACAAAAGAGCUCUUAAGUCUUUGAAUGGACAGCAAAUCAUUUUCAAACGCAAUUCUGUUUCUUACCUUCCAAACCGUCCAAAAAAUACAUAAAGGGUCUGCUCUCCAAACUUCCCUUCUCUUUUUUCCCACAAAAGACCCAUCCCGCCCCAAGAGCGUCAUCUUAACAGAGGCUAGCAGCACCCACUGCACCCCAAAGAGAGUGAAAAACAACGCUCAAAGAGUCCUUGUCUUGGCACAAUGGAGGAGGAUAUGAUCUAUCGAUUCCUCGUGCAUUUGGCAAAGGUAGCAUCUAUUUGCUAAAGGUCAUCCUUUUUUUUUGAAGUUGGUCCAAAGUAAGAACCUUCCCCCAAGUUGCUUCCGACCCAAAAAAACUCACUUUGGGUUGCACACAAGAUUUCCAAAUGACAUUUGAUGGGAAAGAGACUGAAGGGCCUGAUUCUAAGGCUUCGUAGAGAGACUUAACAAAGAACUUCCCACAUUUAGUCUCUAUCUAAAGCACCCUAGCUUCGACAUCCUACCGAACACUCUUCCCAUUGAAGCCCAAUAAAAAUCUGUGCACCUCAUCCAUCUCUCAAUCAUUGAAUGGUCUAGAGAAAUGCGGGCUCCAACUCCCCCCUCCCUCAAUGAAACUCCACACAUCUUUUACCCAAGCGUCCUUGGAAGCAGCUAGAGCAAAUAAAGUAGGAAAAGUAACACAAAAAGGUGAAUCUCCACACCAUCUAUCCUUCCAAAAUCUCACUCUUUGACCAUUGUCCACCACAAAGGAGAGUCUAUUGCUCACAACAUGUCACUCCCUCUUAAUUGUUUUCCACAACCCCACACCAUACCCAUCCCUCACUUCUUUGGAGCACCAACCUCCUUGCUCCUCCCCAUACUUUCCCCAAAUCACUUGAUUCUAAAAGGCCCCUCUCUCAUUUGUAAACCUCCAAUUCCAUUUGCACAAAAGCACCUUAUUAAGAGAAGAAAGACACUUCACCCCCAAACCCCUUUUUCUUUUGUCUAAGCAAACAAGCAUCCAUCUUACAAAAUGAGGUUUCCGCAAGAGCCCACCUCCCCACAAAAAAUCUCUUUGAAUCUGCUCCAACCUCAAUCUGACCGUCCUAGGUAAAGUAAGCACAAACAUGAAAUAAAUGAGCAAGCUAGCCAAAGUACUCCAAAUCAAAGUGAGUCUCCCUCCUUUAGAGAUGUAUUGUCUCUUCCACAUUGUCAAUCUCUUCCGAAACCUCUCCUCCACUCCAUCCCAAGCAGCGAAGGACUUAAAAGGAGCUCCCAAAGGCAAUCCCAAAUAAGAGGAGGGGAGACUUCCGACCUUACAACCAAGUUUUGCAGCCAAAGCCUCCACGUUUUCCACACAUCCUACUGGGAUUAACUCACUUUUAUCCAAAUUAAUUCUCAACCCCAAAAUGGCCUCAAACCACAUUAGAGUUCAACUUAAAUGCUUCAUCUGAUCCUGAGAAGCCCCACAGAAAACCAAAGUGUCAUCGGUGAACAAUAAGUAGGACACAUGAGCCCCUUCACCACCUCUACCCCUUCCAGGGAGAUGAGAUGCCCAAAGUAAUGAAGAAUAAAAAGGAAUAUAGGAGAUUGAUGAAACUGUAAUAUCAAUUGGAGACAAGGUUCACAGCUCUUUGGUGGGAAGAGGGGCCCAUAUAAACUACAUAAUGGAGAAGCAAUUAUAUUAGGAAGUCAAAAAUUGACAGAGAGUAAAGGAUUAGGGAAGAGGAGACUAGUAGUGAGCAACUUAGCUUUUCAAAGAAGUGUAUUUGGAACCAAUGGGAUGGAAAUUUAGGCUAGAUGACCUUACUAUCCCCAACCUCAGUACAAAGACAAGGGGGCGGAUUGAGAGGGGUUUAGGUGAAGAACUGAUGAUAGCACUAAAAGAUUUAGGAAGGAUAAGGAUUUAGCAUCACAUGCGUUGGCAGUAGUGUCUUGCCGGUAGAGUUGGGAGGUUGUUAUAGGGAAUCUGACAAGAAUGGGUCCUUAUUUCAUGUGACUGAAUUUUCAUAACAGUAUAAAAGCCACCUUUAUUCCAUCGUUGUGGUAACAUAAAGGGAGUGGAUGAAGAAAUUGCAAGAUUCCAGGCCUAUAAACUUGGGAAGAGGUAUAUAUAUAUAUAUAUUUCUAGCAAAGAUUUUAGUUGAGAAGCUUGGGAUGGUGGUAGGAAUUUCCAGUUCCUAGAAUGCUUGUGGAGAGAUGUCAGAACCUAAAAUGUGGAUCCGGAUGCAAAAUAAUAUUUUGACAUUAAAAUAUAGAUAUACAAAAGGGUUUAUGAUCAUUUCCAUUAGAAUUUAAUUAUGUACUUAUUCAUUUCCCACGGAUUUUAGGGACAAAUGGGUGGGUUUGAUCAUCUGGCUCAUCUCACCAAUUAUAUUCUUGGUAAUAAUCAGUGGAUCUCCCACAGGUUUUUUAUGGGUGCUCUAGGGCACUAAGGUCUGGAUAUGCUGAUGGAUACUUCAGCACAUUGGUUAAAAAAGGCAGUGGAAGGGAAUGUUGUGAACAGAUCCCAAAUGCAGCCAAGAGAAGAGGAUCAGGAGUUUACCUCAGUUUUAGUUGGAUGCAAAUGUUGCUAAUGUUACUUUUUGGUAUUGAAGUAGAUUCCUUGAAAACCUGAGAUAUCUCAUAUUCAGGUUUUUCUGCUUUUAAGGCAGUUUUAGGGUUGAAGCUGAAUUUUGGGGAAGAUUAAACUUAUUUUCUGCAGGGCUCCUACAGGAUACCCAAUGCUUGGCAUUAAUGUCAGAAUUCAAGGUGGGAACUCUUCCUUCAACAAACUUGGGGUCAAAUAAAGGUUAGGCUCAAAAGGUUGAAAAGGCGGUAUCUUUUUAAGUGAGCAAGAGUAACUCGUACCAGUACUCAAUCUAGUCCACCAAUAUACUUCAUAUCCAUUUUUAUUAUCCCAGUUCUAGUGAGAAAGAUUGGGAAAAAAUGUCAGGAUUUCUGUGCGGUAGGUUUGAGGAGGGGAUAAGAUGCACCUGGCUGAUUGAGAGUUGGUGUUUUCUCCAAGAAGUGGAGCAGUUAAAGUAUUAAAGAUCUCAGUCAUUAACAAACCAUUGCCAAGGAAAUAGCCAUGGAGGUUCAUUGUGAAAUGGGACAGUUUGUGGAGAAGAGCACCAUCGAGGAGUGAGGGAAGCAAGAGAUUGUGGAAUUUUAGAAAGGCAUGGGAACACGAGGGAUGGAGUUGUUGAAGAGUAAUAUGUAAGAGGUCUCUACAUACAAAUGCAACAAAGUGGGGGAUGGGCUUAGGUAAAAUCUUGGAAUAAAAUGUGGUGUUGAGAAGUUACUCUGAAGGUGAGUUAGAAUAGGGAUUAUAGACAAGCUACAAGGGUGGAGAAUCUGAGUCAAUCAGAGGCAUGAAGUUACUAGAAUCCCAGGUCCAUCACCAAUGUUCCUGGUUGGGAAUUAGAAGAGGUUAACUCCUUUGGGCCAUUAAUUUCAACAGAGAUUAAUGGGGAUAUGGUGGACACAGUUAGAGGAAGCAAACUAAGAGUUAUCCUUCCACCCAAUGAUUUUCCACCCAUCUAAUCUUUGCACAACUCUCUCAAUCACCGGAUCCCAAAAAUCACAAGCCUUUGUGUUCCCCCCAAUGGAAGACCCAAAUAGGGAAGAGGCCAAUCAAAAGCCUUGCAAUAAACUGAAAUAAAAUAAAAAAAAGAGGCUCACCUUGAACAAUUAUGGUUGGUAUACAUGAAAUUUUCUUGUAAUUUAUGAUAAAAAAUUUUGCAAUUCUUUCAUUAAGAAAAAACAAAGCAAAAGGCUAAUACGAUGGCAGCCAUAUCAAUAAUGAGGUUGUUGAGAUAGCAACAUAUGAAGAGAGAAAAGAAAGAAAAUAAUAAUUAUACAAAUCUAAAAAGAGGACUCAGAAACAAACCUCAUAGUUCAUUUCUGCAGCUGAGAUGUCAUGAAAAAUCCCCCUACUUUCUUCACUGAAGAGUUCAGCAGUAAUCUGAGUCCGAUGUUUUGCACGUUCUUUCGCAGCGAGACGUGGAUCUUUCAACUCACUUGGGACAUCUUCAUCUUUUCCUGCAUUUAAAACUUCAUCUCCUGGUUUCACCUUUUUACCCUUCGGAAAUUUCACUCUCUUCUGCCUGUUCAAAAAAAAAAAAAAAACAGAAGAAAAUUCAUGAACUGGUUACAAAGUAAAUAAAAGCAUUUUUGCAUCCAGGUUAUGCAACUAGAUGAAAACUAGCUUCUGAAAAUGAUACUGUGUCAUGGAGAAUAGUUAUCACACCUCAUCAUUAGGCUUGGAUAUGCAUACAUGCAUGCACCAACUAUGUUCUUUUUGUUUCAGCCAAAAACAUUUACAUGGAAAUUCUUCCCAAGAUAGUUUCCUUUGAGUGAUAUGGCAAUUUGUUCCAAGCUUCAAAGGGAAAAUUUUCAUUACCACAAAUGGAGUUUUAAAGAAAAAAUAUUUUCCAGUAGCUACUUCUUUUCAUAAACAGCCUAAAACCUUUCCUCAAAAAUGUAAAUACUUUAUAUGAAUCUCCAUGAAUUAGAUGGUAUAUUGGCAUAAAACAUAGAUAGAAUCGUGAAAGCAACAAUAACUCUUUCCACAAGAAAUCAAUUUUCCCUACAAAAAUUCUAGAAAAUAUUUCCCAUUAAAAGAAAAGAAACAAAAAAAAAAAAAGAACCAAAGGAUCCUCAAUGAGACAUGAGUCUAUUAUCAAAUGGUCACAAUAUUGAAACCAUGUGCUUCAAAGAGACUGAAAUGCAAGAGAAUUUACAACAAGGCUCACAUGACUACUAGGGGUGGCGGAAUGGAGGGAUAAAUAGCUUGCUAUAUUGCUACGAUAAACACGUCCCUUAUGUUUUGAUACAUGAAAAUAUGGAUGAUUUCAUGAGGACGGUGAAACGACAUUGUAUCAGUUUUGAUGACCUAAGAGAAUGUCCUGUGAUCAGAUCAUCAGAAUUUUCAGAGACCACCAAGACGACGCCAAUUGGUCUGUAAAAAACCAUGGCCUGACUUAUGCUGAACUUUUGCUCAUUUUACUUGUAAGUUAGGCCAUAUGCAUCAUUAAUCCGGAUUUUGUUGCUUUGCUAUCUGAAUGUUUGCCUUUGAUUAAUAAGAAAGAUUUAGGGGCUGUUUGGCAAUGUUUUUGAAUGCAGUUCUCAAAAAUCAGUUUUUGAGAAUAGUUCUUAAAAAUAGUUUUAUGAUGUCUUCAUGAACAAAAUUCUGUUUGUAAAUUGUGUUGACCUAUUUUCGUGAAGGCACUAUGCAGUCCAUGCACUUAUGCAUAGAAAAAUGUUUCUAGAUAAUUCUCCGUAUUUCUAACUGUUUGUCAAAACAAUCUAAAAAACAUGUGAAAAUAUCUUAAAUUUGUUCUAAAAAAUCACCCAAUUUUCAUAAAACAAACUAUUUUCAAUCCUAAUUUUGUCAACCGUGUUUUAUAAGUAGGAAAAAUCUUUCCUGUUCAGUUUAAAACCAGUUGCCAAACACUCCCUUAGAUUCCAAUCUGUUCCCUUUUCCUCUAAGCAACCAAACAAAGAGAAUGAUUUUAAAGAACGCAAAGAAUCAUCAUAUUAGACAAAUAAUGGACUGAAUUGAAUCAGUGAAUAGCUGAAGAGUUGAAUCAGACAAAGCAAAAAAACAGGAGUUAGGGUUUUGAGAGGAAGAGAUUUACAUUGGGGGCUUGUUGAGGACAUCAUCUGCUGAGAGUGGGCGUUUCAUAGAGCGCGCUGGCUUCUCCUCCAUAAGAGCAACCAACCAAUCCUGAAUUCAGGAAUCAAAGAAAAAAAUUUUAAAAAAUAAAAUAAAAUAAAAUUCACCACUGCCAGUAGAAACAACUGGCAGGCAAUAGAAACAGUAUCAGAGAGACCCACUUUGCAAAUCGAUAACCCCUCCGUUUGGUUGCAAAGAAAACAAAGGAAAAAAAAAAUUCAUAUCUUCACCUUUCCCAAACAAAACAAGAAAUGAAAACCCCAAUUCAAAAAAGACAAAAGGUUGCCCCGGCUCACCUGGGUGGAGUAUAUUCUUUACUGGGGUUACAAUGAACGAACAGGCAUGAAAGCUUCCAUAUCUUUUAUAUUUUACACAUUUUCUCGCGAAACAAACCGAACGUAAUGAGUAGCUGAAGUCGGAGAGGAGGAAGAGGCUCGAGGAACCCCUUUCCGGGGAAAGUCUACGGAAGACGCUAAUACGGCGUCGUUUUGAUUGGACCUUUUUUUAGUUUCUUUUUCUUAAAUUAAAUUUUUUUAUUUUUUGAUAUUUAAGAUAUAAUAAUUUGUUUUUAUUUUUUUAGUUAUUGUUUUUAAAAUGAAAAGUUAAUAAAAAAACAGAAUGAAAUUUUUUUCUAAUUUAAAUAAUUAUCUCUUCUUCUUUGGCUUUCACAAUAGAUAAUUUCCAAAUAUAGAAUAAUAUAAAUUUAAUUUUGGUGCAAUAAGAUAUGGAAGUUUUUUCAUAUUCUAUUAUUCAUAUUAAAUUACUUACUAUUUAAUUGAUAAAACAAAAAUUUUCUAUGAAUAUUUUUUAUUAUUAUAAAAACCAAAAACCAUUCUUAUUAAGAUUUUUCUCUUUUCUACGUUGUACAGUAAUUCAUCUUCAUUUUCAUUUAUAUCAAAUGCACUCAAAAUAAAAAUUAAGAGUUUGUUUGGUUAUAUGAUUUAAAAAUAAUUUUCUGUUUUUAACGAUUAAAAAUUGUUUUAAAAAUUUUCUAACACUGUUUAUUGAAAACAAGUUUUAAAAACAAAGUGAAAUAGAAAAUAAUUUUUAGAGAAUAAAUAGAAAUUAUUUUCACUAAUUUUAAAAAUAAAAGAAAAACAUGAGUCCCUUUUGUCAUGUUUUCUUAAACUUGUUUUUUAAAAACUAUUUUUAAGUUAAAAAAAAAAAAAAAAAACAAGUGUCAAGAAACAUGAUCAAAUGGGUCCAAAUUUAUUUUAGAAACAAAUUAUUUUAAAGAAUAAAUUUAAAAUAUUAUGCUUUUGUAAAGUAUUACGAGUAAUAAUUGAAAAUAUUGAAAAGAAUUUAAAACUUUUAUGUAACUAUGGAAUACCAUUAUGGAGAAUAUAUUAAGAAAAGGGUUUUUGAUAUUUGACUUGUGGAAUAGAAUUUUUCUCAAACAAUUGAAAAUUAUUCUCCAAAAAAGUUAUCUUACAUGUCACCUAAUAAUACAAAUUUUAAUAGAAAAAAUAAUUAAAAAUAUGAAUAAUAAAAUAACAAAACUAUUUUUACUACUACUUCCAUCAUUAAAAGCAAUAUAUGAAGAUAGAAUAUAACACUUUGGAGAAUUUAAAUAAAAAUUUUGAAUAUGUGACUUCUACUUUUCAGUUUGAUUUAUCCUUAUUUUGAAAAAAUAGAAAACCUAUACUUUUUCUCAAUUUUGAUACGGGAAAAAGAUUUUUAUUUAGUUAAAUCUUUUAAAAAUAUAAAAAUUAUUCUUAAUUUUAAUAAAAACGUUUCUAAAAUACACUUUUCAAACAUAAUUACAUCGAAUCACAUUUACUUUUACUUCUCUUUGUACUUCUACUAUUGCUAAACGCAAAAGUUUGACACUAUCUCAGACAUACCUUAUAGAGAGAGGUAUUUGCAUGGAUACAAAUACAAUGUACAUUCUGCAUUAAGCCAACAUUACAAAGGCACAUAAUUUAUCAGCCUUGAUGGAAAAGAACUAAGUGGGCUUUAGGAGGUGAAAUUGUUUAGGUGAGUAGAGUCUGAACAAAGAGAAGGCAGACAGAGAAGAGAGCAGGACCAUGAGGAGGGAGGCUAGGUAGCCAGAGAGAAGAGCCCCACCAACUUGGAUGCAGAACCUGGUGUAUCUGUUGCAUACCUUCAUCCAUUGAAGGCUGCUCUCACCAGUGACAGCUAUAAUGGAGGCCUGCAAUGCAGCUGUGUUUGCUGAAAAUACGGUGUACACUGCUGCCUGUUUCCCAUCACAUUAAAGUAGUGAGUGAAACGUAUAUAAUCUACACCACUGAGAGACAAUUAAUUAGCAAAUAAAAUGUCUUUUUCCUUUUAUAAAUGACUAAAAAUUGACCAACCUUUAGGCCCAUUUGUUUUCUUGGCUCAACUCUCAAGGGACUACAACAGUUCUAGUAGUCCUCUUCUUCUUCUUCUCUUUUAUUUAUUUAUUAAUUAUUUAAUUAAAAAAAAUUAAAUAAAUUUUAAGUUAAUUUUAUUAAACAAUCUUAAUACUUAAAGUAAGAAUUAAAUAACAAAUUUUAAAUUAACAAUUUAAAUAUAAUUUAACAUAAAUUCAACUUAAAUUAUUAAAAAAUAAAUCUUAAAUUUUACCAAACACCUUAAUCUUUUAUAAACAUCAAUAUAUAUAUAUACCCAAACACUAGCCAUUUUUCUACAAAAACAUUUUUAAUAAAAAAAAAAAAAAAACAACUUGCAAAAGCACCAUAGACUAAACAUACUGUUACAAGGAUCACUCUCAAACAAGCCCUAAAUUUGUAUGAGCAAUAAUAAAAGUACAACUUGUAAAAACGUUAUAAACUGAACAUAUUUUUAUAAGAAUCACUAUCAAAUAGACUUUAAAUUUAUCGAAAUUGGUAUAAUGAUUUUAGGAUGGUGGUAAGAUGGUAUGGGAAGAUUCCUAAGAGACUUGUCUUCUCUAGGCAUUCAAGGGGUCAAAGAUUCCAAAACAAUUCAUUCAUGCUAAUCAAUAUUGACAGCUAUAUAUAGAACCCUCAGCAAAAGCCUUGAGUAUUUAAAUAGGAAAAUGACUUGUGCUAUGCAGAGGUUUUUCAUAUUUGCCUAAAAUAUUCAAAAGAGAUGCAUAGCAUAACUCAUUAAUAUUUGAUAGAGACAGUGGGCUCUGGACAUAUGCGUUGGUUGAGUCCAUUUGGUAGAGUUUAGCUUUAUCAAAAGUAGCUUGAUCACAAGGAAAGGACCACAUAAUUUAUGGCACCAUAACUGACAGAGAUGAAUGCAGGUGGCCUGGUUUAUUACCAUGCAUGCUUUAACUGAUCAACAUUGAUUUUAGUGGCUCUGGAAGCAAUUACUCCAAAGAAGACUGAAUGGCUAUGAUAUGUCCAAUCGCCCUGCCUCAUUGUUUUCUCUAACUUGGACCUCGGUUCAUACAAUCGAGGAUUUGACUUUAUGUUAAACGAUCAAUUAACCGAAAAGUUUAAGUUUUAGACAAUGACAUAAUUUAUAUUCAGCUAAUGGGACUCUAGAUACCACGUUAAACUAUCGAUUGUUGACCUAUAAAUCGAUAUAUCCAUUUGUGGGAUCCAUGGACAAUAAAUGAGAAAAGGACUUGAAUUUGAGACUUCGGUUAUAUUACGUUCAAUUAUCAAUUUUGACUAAAGUUUAAAUUUCGGCAUAUCAUAUUUGGGUUAGCUAGAAGUUCCUUAUCAUAUUUAAUUAUCAAUUUUUCUAACAAUUUUAAUUAUUAAAAUUUAAAUACAUAAUAUAUAUCAUGUUUUAAUAAUAGAUAAUCAUUCAAUAAUAUAUACCAAGCUGAUAAUAUUUUUGAUACCAUGUUAAACUAUAAAUUAUCUUUAAAACUUAAAUUAUUGGAUAAUAAGCUUAAAUUAUUGCAACAAAGUUAGUUGGUGUAGGUUGAUUAUCAGAUGGGCUCUCCUCCACAUCCAACACUAAGAAGAAAUAAAGGGACAAGCUCAAAGUUGCAUUGAUCCAUUGGGGUGCCUUAUCUUUACCCUUUUUUAUCAUCCAAUACUACAAAAUUAAGCAAAAAAAUUCAAUUGAAUUUCAAAUAAUUGAGAAUUGAAUUAAUUCAUCAACUAUGUGUUUUAAUUUAUAUUUGAGUUAAAGCAUUAAAAUCUUGUCUUAGAGCUUUUUUUAGAAUUACAAAACAAGCAUCAAUGAGAUCUGGAAAUGACAUCUUAACAUUCAAGAUUUUGCUACCAUUUUUUUUUAACGGAAAGAAAUCUUCGAAAUAAUCUUCGAGACCAAACUUUAUAAUAUUUAUAGGAAAAUCUAAUAUCCAAAUGAUUGACUUUAAAUUAUAAAUAUCUUUCUUAGUUGAACAAUAUGAUAUUUUAUUUGUUUUUUGUAAACAUAAUGAUAAUAGUAAAUAUUAAGAUCUUGAUACCUUAUUAAACUAUCAUAUGGUCACCUAAAAGAUAGGUUUAACUAAAGCAUAGGCUUGUCCAGGGGGUCAAACUUAAAGAAAAACAUGGAAAUGAAUUUUCAAAAAAAAAAAAAAGAAGAAAGAAAAAUGAAAAUAUGUUCAAAUAUUCGAUGACUGAAUUUCUGAAGGUAUGGUGCCAUGAACCAGGCAAAAAACAGAAGACAUACCUGAUCUAAGAGGAAACAAACCCAAGGAAGAGUGACAUAUGACACGUUUAUAAGCUUCCCUUUCAACUUAGCAGAGAUAAAACCCCUGCCUAGUUGAAGGAGAUUAUACCCAGCAGCCACAGAAUCAACAUAAACCACGACUCUGUGAAAAAACAACCAAACGUUUACUAGAAAAAUCAUUAUCAUUCAAUACAAAAAAAGCAAGAACAGAUGAUGAAAAGAUCAGCCAGAGAGCUCACUGGAGAGCACCCAAGUCUCUGAAAGUGGCAGUCUUCUUAAUAGUGGAGAAGAGAAGCUUGGUUUGGGUGUCAAAGCCCAGCAAACAAGCAGUCAAGACCAAGACCAGUAUGGCAAAAAGCCUCAGAAAAGCUUCAGCUCUGGCCAGUGAGAUCCCAGAAGAAGACUCCAUCAUCCCUUUUCUCAGGUGGGGUGUGACUGUUCUAGGGCCAACACCCAAUACCGACAUGCAUCUGUAUAUGUAGGUGAGGACUGAGGAGGCCAAGUGGGUAGGGAGAGACGCAAAAUCAAUGGCCAAGAAAGGUCCACGAGAGCUUGGGGGAUGGGAAGAAGCUAGGCUCUUAUGAGAUACAGAUUGGAAACCAACGUGAUGGAAUUGAUUCAGAAAUUAAGGAGGCACGGCAAGGGCUGUCCCACUCUGUAUAUGAGUCUGGAUUUGCAGUUAUGAGGUGAAGUGGUGGCAUCACCACUUGACACUUCUGGGUCAACCCUAGUAUAGUAAUAACUAAUAACUGGGUAUAUGAGAACCGCCUGUUUCGCAAAUGCCUACUUAUUUAUUUGAGUUACUUUCCUGACUUUUAUGUGGGUUUUAGGAAAAAAAAUCCCAUCCUUAGAGAAGAGGUUUUAGCAUGUAGUGUUUUUGCUCGUUUUAUUAACAUUUUUAACACUUGAAUGAUAAAAAUUUUAAGUAUUAGAAAUAUUAAAAACGUUUUCUAAAAUCAUUAUCAAACAUAUUUUUCAUAUUAUAAAUAAAAAAACAAUUAAGCAUUAAUUCUAAAUAUUUGAAAGAAUUUGACAAAGUUUUAAAACUAUUUGUGAAGAAUGAUUUAAAGUAAUUUUUUAUCUACCAUCAAAAUAAGUUUUUGGUGAUAUUUGAAACCAUUGUUGGAAACACUUUGAGAACAUUUUUUUUUGUUUGUUGGAGUUGGGGUUGGAGUUGGGUUUGGAUGACCAAGUGGAUUGACCUGACCUAAUCCAACAAAAAUGAGAAAUGGGGAAAUAGUUUCAGGGAAUUAAAAUUAUCUAUAAAUUGUCAAGUUCGAAAGAACACGCUUCUACAAGAAAAUCAUUUAAAUUUUUUUAUAUAUAUAUAUUUUCUCUAUAAAAACAAAGGUUAAAACAUUUAUACUAUGUAAAUUGAGUUUUUUUUCUUUUUGUAAUUUCAUUCAUAACUUAGGUAGAGAAUUUGUUAAUGAAACAAUUGAUUUAGAUUUUGAGCAUUUCAAAAUGUAAUCUGAAUCCUUAUUUUCCAUCAAUAUAAAAUUCAUUAAUUAGUCUCCUUUAAAAUAUUUUUAAUGAAAUUAUUACCAACAUAUGCAAGAUAGAGACAUAUAUAAUUCUCGCUCUUUUGGGUAAAUAUGCUUAGGAUUUAUGAAUUUGAAAUUUUAUUAAAUAUCUCUUUUAUUUUAAGUGAAAAAUGAGGUAAGUGAAAAUAAAAAAUAAAAAUAAUAGAGAAACCAUUCGACGAAAUUUCAAAUUAUGAGAGUUAGAUCUAUUUGGUCAAAACUUGAAGACAUGCGAACAAAAUUGACCCAAAGGGUAGUUCCAAUUACUUCUUUUAGUUUCUUCUAAUUUGUCUUUAUUUUGGGGCACCUUCACAUCAUGAAAACAGGGCCAUACGCUAACAAACAUAAAUGAAUGGGAAAAUGUUAAAUCAAAUGAAGGAGUAGGAAAUGGCCCUUGAUUAUGCUAUUAGGAAGUAGCACUUUCAUAUUGAAUGUAAGUUUGAAUGUCACAACCAACUUAAAUUGUCAAUUUUAUAUCUAGUCCCGGUUAUAGUCUCUUUCAUGGAAUCACUAUAGUUGAGGGCAAAAUUUUUAGCAUUUAUAAAAAUCAACUUAUCAAUCAUAUAUAGACCCAUGCAUUUUUAAAACUGUGAGAAUUAGUCAAUCCAUGAUAAACAAUAUUUACAUUGGUAACAAUGUCCAUGAUUUAUCUUGAGGCUAUUAUACCAAUCGAAAACCCAAAAUUUCAUAAUAUUAAAGUUAUAAACAUCUAUGGUCGGAUCUUUCAUUUAGCUUUAAAUUAAUAUUAACAUUAAAUCUUAAAUGUUAUUUCAUGCACAUUUUGGUCAAAGUACCACCUUUAACCAUUCAGGUAGUAUAUUUUAAUGAUAUAAGUACUAUCUUUAACUACCAUAUAUAUCAUCUUUGACCAAUGAGUACAUAAAAUUUGAAUUAUUUUUAAAGGGUUUCUAUUUUUUAUUAUUUUUAUAUGAUUGCAUGAAAAUUCACUUUUUCCUAAAACAUAUAUUAUGAUUUUUCACUUUCUUUUUUUUUGCAUUAAUUUUUAUAUAUUUUUAUUUCAUUUUUGUUUUAUUAUAAGACUUCUUGAAGUUGGAAAAAACAUUAUUUAGAUCAAUUUCAUAGGCAAGGUAUAAUUGAUAGGAAAGUCCAUGAUUAUUUGAUUAUCUUAUUGGAAUAUGAUUUCUUAUUUAUUUAUUUUUUGUUGUUAUUAAUUUUCAUUUGUAAUAGGAAAAAUAUUAUUUAGAUCAUUUUUUUUAAUUUUUUAAUAACAAAUUGAAAAUGAUGUCAUGAAAUUUUUUAUCAAGGGUCAUAAAUACAUUCAAUGAAUCAGUGGAACUAUAACUACAGUUCCAACUAUUAGAAUUAAUUGUACUUUUGACACUGUUUAUUUCUUCAAAACUAGAAAGGGUUUAUUUCCAAAUAUAUGUAGAGAGAGAAAGAGAGAAUUUUCUUUAAAAUAUUUUAGAGCUUAUUUAGGAGUGAUUAUGUGUGGACCCCGCAUUUCGGCUCAUGCGUUUCCCACUCGAUGGCGAGCUCNNNNNNNNNNNNNNNNNNNNNNNNNNNNNNNNNNNNNNNNNNNNNNNNNNNNNNNNNNNNNNNNNNNNNNNNNNNNNNNNNNNNNNNNNNNNNNNNNNNNNNNNNNNNNNNNNNNNNNNNNNNNNNNNNNNNNNNNNNNNNNNNNNNNNNNNNNNNNNNNNNNNNNNNNNNNNNNNNNNNNNNNNNNNNNNNNNNNNNNNNNNNNNNNNNNNNNNNNNNNNNNNNNNNNNNNNNNNNNNNNNNNNNNNNNNNNNNNNNNNNNNNNNNNNNNNNNNNNNNNNNNNNNNNNNNNNNNNNNNNNNNNNNNNNNNNNNNNNNNNNNNNNNNNNNNNNNNNNNNNNNNNNNNNNNNNNNNNNNNNNNNNNNNNNNNNNNNNNNNNNNNNNNNNNNNNNNNNNNNNNNNNNNNNNNNNNNNNNNNNNNNNNNNNNNNNNNNNNNNNNNNNNNNNNNNNNNNNNNNNNNNNNNNNNNNNNNNNNNNNNNNNNNNNNNNNNNNNNNNNNNNNNNNNNNNNNNNNNNNNNNNNNNNNNNNNNNNNNNNNNNNNNNNNNNNNNNNNNNNNNNNNNNNNNNNNNNNNNNNNNNNNNNNNNNNNNNNNNNNNNNNNNNNNNNNNNNNNNNNNNNNNNNNNNNNNNNNNNNNNNNNNNNNNNNNNNNNNNNNNNNNNNNNNNNNNNNNNNNNNNNNNNNNNNNNNNNNNNNNNNNNNNNNNNNNNNNNNNNNNNNNNNNNNNNNNNNNNNNNNNNNNNNNNNNNNNNNNNNNNNNNNNNNNNNNNNNNNNNNNNNNNNNNNNNNNNNNNNNNNNNNNNNNNNNNNNNNNNNNNNNNNNNNNNNNNNNNNNNNNNNNNNNNNNNNNNNNNNNNNNNNNNNNNNNNNNNNNNNNNNNNNNNNNNNNNNNNNNNNNNNNNNNNNNNNNNNNNNNNNNNNNNNNNNNNNNNNNNNNNNNNNNNNNNNNNNNNNNNNNNNNNNNNNNNNNNNNNNNNNNNNNNNNNNNNNNNNNNNNNNNNNNNNNNNNNNNNNNNNNNNNNNNNNNNNNNNNNNNNNNNNNNNNNNNNNNNNNNNNNNNNNNNNNNNNNNNNNNNNNNNNNNNNNNNNNNNNNNNNNNNNNNNNNNNNNNNNNNNNNNNNNNNNNNNNNNNNNNNNNNNNNNNNNNNNNNNNNNNNNNNNNNNNNNNNNNNNNNNNNNNNNNNNNNNNNNNNNNNNNNNNNNNNNNNNNNNNNNNNNNNNNNNNNNNNNNNNNNNNNNNNNNNNNNNNNNNNNNNNNNNNNNNNNNNNNNNNNNNNNNNNNNNNNNNNNNNNNNNNNNNNNNNNNNNNNNNNNNNNNNNNNNNNNNNNNNNNNNNNNNNNNNNNNNNNNNNNNNNNNNNNNNNNNNNNNNNNNNNNNNNNNNNNNNNNNNNNNNNNNNNNNNNNNNNNNNNNNNNNNNNNNNNNNNNNNNNNNNNNNNNNNNNNNNNNNNNNNNNNNNNNNNNNNNNNNNNNNNNNNNNNNNNNNNNNNNNNNNNNNNNNNNNNNNNNNNNNNNNNNNNNNNNNNNNNNNNNNNNNNNNNNNNNNNNNNNNNNNNNNNNNNNNNNNNNNNNNNNNNNNNNNNNNNNNNNNNNNNNNNNNNNNNNNNNNNNNNNNNNNNNNNNNNNNNNNNNNNNNNNNNNNNNNNNNNNNNNNNNNNNNNNNNNNNNNNNNNNNNNNNNNNNNNNNNNNNNNNNNNNNNNNNNNNNNNNNNNNNNNNNNNNNNNNNNNNNNNNNNNNNNNNNNNNNNNNNNNNNNNNNNNNNNNNNNNNNNNNNNNNNNNNNNNNNNNNNNNNNNNNNNNNNNNNNNNNNNNNNNNNNNNNNNNNNNNNNNNNNNNNNNNNNNNNNNNNNNNNNNNNNNNNNNNNNNNNNNUUUUAAAAGGGGCGAUUUUGGAUAAAUAAACUAAUAUAGGAUGAUAAUACUAAUUAACGAAAAUAAUCAUUUAAACCGAAUAAAAAGAAUAGUGGAAUUUUUAGGGGUUUGAAAAUUAAAUUAGGACAUCUGGUUUCUAAAGGAUUGGAUUUUAAAUAACUAAACUCAUAUAGGAUGAUAAUACUAAUUAACGAAAAUAACAUUUAAACGAAAUAAAAAGAAUAGUGGAAUUUUUAGGGGUUUGAAAAUUAAGUUAGAACAUUGAAUUUUUAAAGAGUUGGACCUGAAAUGAAUAAAAAGAUAGGGGAUAAGAAUUCUAGUUAACGAAAAUAACAAUUAGGCGAAUAAUAGAAUUUCGAAGGUUGAAAGUUAAAUUGAGAUUUUUGAAAGAUUUGACUUUAAAUAAAUAUAGGAUGAUGAUUCUAAUUGAUAAAAAUGAAAUUUAAACAAAUUGUAGAAUUUUUGGGAUUGAAAAAUUAAAUUUAAAAAAAAAUAUACGGAAUGUUUGAAGGAUUAGACUUUAAAUAACUAAAUAAAUACGGGAUUGUAACUCUAAGUGAUGAAAAUAAAAUUGAGUUGAAUUGUAGAGUUUUUAGGAUUUGAAAGAUUAAAUUAAAACAUGGAAUUUUUUAAGGAUUAAACUUUAAAUAACUAGAUAAAUACGUGAUAAUAAUUCUAAUUGACGUACAUGAGAUUUAAACGACUUAUGGAGAAAUUAAAUUAAGACCUGUGAUUUUUAAAAGGGUUAGACUUUAAAUAACUAUAUAUGUAUGAGAUAAUGAUUCUAUUUGAUAAAAAUAAGAUUUAAACGAACUAUUGAAAAAUUAAAUUGAGGCAUGAGAUUUUUUUAAAAGGGUUAGACUUUAAAUAACUAUAUAAAUAUGGAAUUAAUCACUCUAUUUAAUGAAAAUGAGAUUUUAACGAGUAUUUGAAGGAUUAAAUUCAAACAUAGGAUUUUUGAAGGAUUACUUAAAGACCUAAGUUUUGAAAAUGGAAUGUAAAGUCUAGAAUGUAGAAACUUAUUUGAGUCCAAUAUAAAUUAAUUUAUACAAAAGUUUUUCAUAUAUGGUGAUUAGACAUAAUUAAAAUAUAAAUUAUUUUGUGUUUCAAAAAACGAUGUUUACCCCUAAUGAUUUAUCCGUUAGUUAUGCUCAAGUCAAUUAAAGAAUGUAGGUAAUAAUGUAAUAAGUGUAUAAAAAAAUAAAUAUAAAUAGAUUAUGAGGAUUAGGAGUUUAGAGAUUUUUUUAGAGCUGGGGCANNNNNNNNNNNNNNNNNNNNNNNNNNNNNNNNNNNNNNNNNNNNNNNNNNNNNNNNNNNNNNNNNNNNNNNNNNNNNNNNNNNNNNNNNNNNNNNNNNNNGUAGUCGGCGCUGCACGUGACCCUGUCGUCGGCUGCCGCUCCUUGUGCUGAUCCUGCCGCUUAGAUAUGUGAAGGCCAUUGCUGAGCUGGUGAGAUGGGAUUCGCGUACCCAUUGAUGACUUAAAGAGAGGAUCUACAGAGAGGAAGGUAGAGAAGGAGCGAAAUGGAGAGGUGCUUUAGAGAGAGAAAAGGUGGUGAUGGAAAGAGGAAGGGUGACGACGUGCAUGUACAGUCCUCAUGCUCGCGGAAGGGAUGAUGAAAAUGAGAGGGUGGUGUUUCUGAUGGGUGGUGAGAUGAGGGUAGCCAUGCUCAUAUAGUGCUGUGUUAUCCAUUCUUUCAAUGUGGUAAAAGUGCAAUCUUUUCAAAAGGCCCCAACAACACCACUAUCCCCACUAAGAAGCUGUUAAGCAGGAUAUGGAAAGAAUGGAUGAUUCCUUCCCAUGUCUAGAUCUUUUAACAUUCCAUGAAAAAAAAACCAACUGCAUCUAUGGAAUUCCUGAUGGUAUAAACCAAUGGCUGAGAAGAUCCGGGUAACAAAGAUGGACCAGGAACUAUACCAAGCCUGAGAGAUCUAGGUAAAAGAGAAAAAAAAAAAAAAAAAAAAACUUACCGAAGGACUUUUCCUGCUCAUUGGGUCAUUGUAAAUACAGCUGCAUUGUUAACCUUGGAAACUAUUGUCGUCAAGUCAAUAGUGGCAUAACACAAAGAAUCCAUGGCAGACUUAUGAAACAUUGUACAAGUAGCUGCAGUGUAGCAUAGGCUUUGUGUAUCUAGCAUAGAAAAUACCUGGACCAAAACGAGAAGCUCCUCCUCUGCUCAGCUCGAAAUCACCUCCCUAUAGCUCCUCUUGCUUACAGCUUCUCCAUGGCUUUCAAACUCUUCUUCUCGGUUCUCUCUCACUCUCCCUCAUGCACUCAAAAUUUUCCAGAACCCUCUAUCUCAGGAAAAACUCACCCCCCUACCCUUACUCUGUUUUUUUCCAUUUUCUCCCUUUUUUUUUCUUUUCUUUGUCUUUCCCUCAGAUCCCCCCUCUAUCUUCCUUGGCAAGCCACUACUUGCCCUACUGUUCCUCGCAUCAGCAGCAUGGCCCUCCAAUCACCAGCAUGGCCCCUCUAUCUUGACUUGCUGCACAUCCCAUCUCUCGUAGCUGCCUUCAUGCCGAAAGGGGUCCCCCCACUUGCCUAAGGUGCUGCUAGCUGCUAGUGAUCCCGAGACACCUUUCCAAUGUUAUUGUAUAUAUAAAAAAACCUAAAGUCCCCGGCCCUUGAAAGGGGGUCUACAUUAUGGUAAAAGCCUUUUUAGUUGUAAUUUUUUUUGUCAAAAUACUUUUACCAAAACUACUUUGAUAGAGCAUUUGAAUUAAAAAAUAGUUUAGUGUUUUUGAAGAAAAAUUAGUUGUUCAACUUUUAAACAGUUGAAAAAUUACUUAUACUACUUUUUGGAGAAACAUUUGAUAGAAGUUUCUCUCAAAAACACUUUUAGAGAAAAUGUUUUCACUUAAAAUAUUUAACAAAGAAAGAUUGUUAAACACAUUAUAAAAAUCAAUUGAAGUGAUUUUUUAGAUUUUUUAAAGGAAUUUUUAAAUUUUACUAAUAUUAAAAAAAAAAUUAUUAGUUCCACAAUCACUUUUGAACUAAGAAAUCUUAAGCCCAAUUUGGUAAUUAUUUUUGAAAAGAGUUUUUUAUUCUUUAGAAUAAAAAAAGAAAAAGAAAAUAAGUUUAACAACUAGAAAAUAGUGAAUAAUUUUUUGUUCGUAAAAAUAAAGAGAAAUUUCUGUUUUUAAAAGCAAUAUGGUAUUUUUAAAUAAUUUAUUUUAAUUAUUUUUUGAGAUUUAUUUUAAAAAAUAAUUAUAAAAAUAUAAAGUAUGAUUAAAAAUAAAGCACCAUAUAUAAAAUUUAUUUAAAAAUAUAAAGUAGAUUGAAAACAUUUUAGGUUUUUCUCCACAGAUUUGUUCUGUAAAAAAUUAGAGAACAAUUUUAAAAAAUAAAUAUUCUCUAACCAUUUUUUUUUAAUAAAAAUAAAAUUUAAUUUUGUAGUUUUAAAAUCUGUUUAGAGUCACAUGUACAUGUAGAUAAAAAGCAAAAGUUGGCAUGAAUUGAAUCAAAGUGAGGAAAAGAAAGGACAUAUAUCCUUAAUUAUGACAUCUAACAAACCACACAACUGGGCCAUUGACACCCACAUCAAAAUAUUAAUAGCAAGAGUUCCCUACUCCUUGUGCCUAUAAAUUGUUGAAAUUGAAAGAUGAUUACAACUGCACGUUUUGCUUCACAAAUCCUUUUCAUUUCUUUGCAAAUUGUCAUAUUUGGAGGUUGCAAUUUAAUGGGUGUGGUGUUUAUCACUUUACAUGAUGGCUUCAAAAAUUAAUGCCUAUUGGAUACAGUUAGGUUGGAAAAUUUAUUCUAUGGGUUUGUUUCCAGAGUAUUUUUAAUGGAAAUUCUUAAUUUAAAAAACAUGUUUGACCUUUUUUAAAAAAAAAAUAGUUUUUAAAAUCUGAGAUAUUUUCAAAUGUUUUUAUAGUCUUUUGAGGAAUAAUUAAAAAUAUAAAGGAUAAUCUAAGAACUUUGUAUUAUAUAAGAGGGCAUACUACUUUGAUGAAAAAUAUAUCGAGAGAAAUAUUUUCCUGUUUGAAUUUUUAAUCAAAAUUUGUUCCUAAAAACAUUUGAAAAAUAUUCUUAAGAGCAGUGAAUUUUUUUUUUUUUUAAGUUAUUAAUGUUUACAGGUGGUAUAAUAACAGUGGAAUUAAUAAUAAUAAUAAUACUUUCUUGGUCUUUUUUAAAGUUAUUAAUGUUUACAGGUGGUAUAAUAAUAGUGGAAUUAAUAAUAAUAAUAAUAAGUCUUGGACUUUUUUUAAGUUAUUAAUGUUUACUGGUGGUAUAAUAAUAGUGGAAUUAAAAAUAAUAAUAACAACAAAUUUUGUUAGAAAAUUUAAAUAUGAAAAACAAAUGAAAAUAUUUCAAGCUUGUUAUAAGAAAUAACUUAUUUUCGGAACAAAUUAUAAAAUAAAAAAAAUUGUCAAAUUUGUUAAAUAUGUUUCUAUUUUUUUAAAAAUGUGUUAUAUUAACCAAAAAAAAAAAUUAAGAAUAGUUUAAAAACGAGUUUUCUCUUCAUUUUGGAUCAUAAUUUACCUUCUUUUUUUUUUUUUUGUAGAAUAGUUUUAUAAAUUACCAAAUAUUUUAUCAACCAAAAGUCAGAAAUCUCAUGUUAAAUCGUAAAGAAGAAAAUGUAGACAAACAUAAAUCCAUUGUUGAUCUUGAAAAAAUAUGGUUCUUCUAAGGCAAUAUAGGAGUAAACCACCUAUCUGUUUUUUUUUUUUUUUGUCAGAAAAAAAAACUAAAAGAUACCACACUUCAAUUUCCUCUAUGCCUUAGGGACACAUACCCAUUGGGUUGUUGGGCCACAUGUGUUUUAGGCCCAUAAUAUGAGACACAUGUAACUUGACCUCUACAUACAAAGUGACCCGUACUUAAUAAAUAUAAUAUAUAGAUAGCUUAAUCAUAAACAAUUAUUAAUGUAUGUGAGUUUAUAAUUAUUUUAACAUUUUUUUUCCUAAAUGAGUCCAAAAAAAAAUAAAAUGAAAAGAUUAAACAGUAAGGGAACUUUUUUCUUCAAAUUAACUAUUUUAAAAAAAAUCGUAGGUCUUUAUAAAAACAAAAAAAAUUAGUUAUGUCUGAUUUUCAUAAACAUAAGAUAAGAAAAAAAUUAUUAAUAAAAAUUAUUUUCUCAUGUCUAAUUUUAUCAUGAAAAAUAUAAAAUAAAUAAAUUUAAUUAAAAUUUUAUGUAUUUUUAAAUUAUUUAAUCCAUAUACAAGAGUAAAAAUAAUGUAAUGAGUUUGAAGUCACAAAAAAAAAAUAAAGAAAAUAUUUUUAAAAAAAAAUAUAUAUGAUUCUCUCUCUCAAAAUCUUGGUCUUUUAUUUAUAUAUAUAUAUUCAUUGAAAAAAAAACUGAUUUUACCCUAAAAAAAAUACUGACCUUCCCCUAAAAAAAAUUCUCAUUUUCCAUUUAAAAAACAAAAUUUGAUUUUUCCCUAAAAAAUUAUGACUUUAUCCUAAAAAUCCUAAUUUUUUUUUUUUUUGAAAAGAGAAAUUUGAUUUUCCCCUAAAAACUUCUGAUUUUCCAUCAAUAAUUCUGAUUUUUCCCUUAAAAAUUUCUAAUUUUCUAUUUUAAUUUUUUUCUCUAUUUUUCUCUUAAAAAUUUGUAAUUUUACUAUAUUUUUUUCUCCCUUUCCAAAAAUAAAAUAAAAUAGAUAUAAAAAGGGAGAGUAAAAAAAAAAUUCUAAUUCAAUGACUUAAAAAUCUUGGAAUAAAAUAUGGGACUAAAACUUUGGAUAAAAAGGCACUUGGACAAAUUUUGGGAUCUAUAAUAAGAAAGGAAAAAAAUAUCUUUAAAUGAAAUUAUUUUAUUAUAUUUGGUCAUACCUUUAAAAAUAUAAAGAUUAUGCUUGGUUCACCCAAAGUUUAAGGAAAAAGAAAAUAUGAAAAGUAGAAACAAAGAAAAAGUAAAAUAAAAAAAGGAUUUAAAAUUAAUAAAUUAUUUUUAUAUGCUAGUUUUAACUUAUUUAUCUUCUUUCAAUUCUUUUAUAUAAAGAUUAAAUGAUUUAAAAUGAAUAAAAUUUUAACUAAUUUUAAUUAUAUUUGACUUUCAUCACUAUUUUUCAUUAUAAAACCAGACUAUGAANNNNNNNNNNNNNNNNNNNNNNNNNNNNNNNNNNNNNNNNNNNNNNNNNNNNNNNNNNNNNNNNNNNNNNNNNNNNNNNNNNNNNNNNNNNNNNNNNNNNNNNNNNNNNNNNNNNNNNNNNNNNNNNNNNAAAAAGGAUUUAAAUAUAAUUAUUUUUAUUGCUAGUUUAACUUAUUUAUCUUCUUCAAUCCUUUUAUAUAAGAUUAAAUGAUUUAAAUGAAUAAAUUUUAACUAAUUUUAAUUAUAUUUGACUUUCAUCACUAUUUUCAUUAUAAAACCAACUAUGAAAAAAAUCAUUUCCUUUGUAUUUUUUUUAAUACUUCCUUGAAACCAAACAUAAUAGAAAGAAAUUAAAUAUAAUUAAUUUUUUAUAAAAAUGUAUAUAUUUUUAAAUUAUUUAAUCUUUUUUAGAACGGUGAAAAUAAUUUUAGAACAAUUAAAGUAAAUAAAAUGAGUUUUAAAUAAUAUACAAACAUAAUUUAUUGACUUUAAAUUUAUUGUUUAUGUUUCUUCUACUUUUGUAUUAUGUCCCAUUCUAUGAAAGCACUAAGAGGAAAAAGAUAUUACUCUAUAUUUGGUUUUGGAAAAUAGUAAGAAAAAAAUGUUAAAGAAAAUGAUUUUUUAUAUUUGGUUUUAUUAUUAAAAUAUAAAAGUAAUUUUACUCUAUUUUUUUCUCCCUUUCCAAAAAUAAAAUAAAAUAAAUAUAAAAAGAGAGAGUAAAAAAAAAAUUCCAAUUCAAUGACUUAAAAAUCUUGGAAUAAAAUAUGGGACUAAAACUUUGGAUAAAAAGACACUGGACAAAUUUUGGGAUCUAUAAUAAAAAAGGAAAAAAAAUAUCUUUAAAGGAAAUUAUUUUAUUACAGUUGGUUAUACCUUUAAAAAUAUAAAGAUUAUGCUUGGUUCACCCUAAUUUUAAGGAAAAGGAAAAUAUGAAAAGUAGAACCAAAGAAAAAGUAAAAUAAAAAAAGGAUUUAAAAUUAAUAAAUUAUUUUUAUAUGCUAGUUUUAACUUAUUUAUCUUCUUUCAAUUCUUUCAUAUAAAGAUUACAUGAUUUAAAAUGAAUAAAUUUUUAACUAAUUUUAAUUAUAUUUGACUUUCAUCACUAUUUUUCAUUAUAAAACCAACUAUGAAAAAAAUCAUUUCCUUUGUAAUUUUUUUUAAUACUUCCUUGAAACCAAACAUAAUAGAAAGAAAUUAAAUAUAAUUAAUUUUUUUAUAAAAAUGUAUAUAUUUUUAAAUUAUUUAAUCUUUUUUAGAACGGUGAAAAUAAUUUUAGAACAAUUAAAGUAAAUAAAAUGAGUUUUAAAUAAUAUACAAACAUAAUUUAUUGACUUUAAAUUUAUUGUUUAUGUUUCUUCUACUUUUGUAUUAUGUCCCAUUCUAUGAAAGCACUAAGGGGAAAAAGAUAUUACUCUAUAUUUGGUUUUGGAAAAUAGUAAGAAAAAAAUGUUAAAGAAAAUGAUUUUUUAUAUUUGGUUUUAUUAUUAAAAUAUAAAAGUAAUUUUACUCUAUUUUUUUCUCCCUUUCCAAAAAUAAAAUAAAAUAAAUAUAAAAAGAGAGAGUAAAAAAAAAAUUCCAAUUCAAUGACUUAAAAAUCUUGGAAUAAAAUAUGGGACUAAAACUUUGGAUAAAAAGACACUGGACAAAUUUUGGAAUCUAUAAUAAAAAAGGAAAAAAAUAUCUUUANNNNNNNNNNNNNNNNNNNNNNNNNNNNNNNNNNNNNNNNNNNNNNNNNNNNNNNNNNNNNNNNNNNNNNNNNNNNNNNNNNNNNNNNNNNNNNNNNNNNNNNNNNNNNNNNNNNNNNNNNNNNNNNNNNNNNNNNNNNNNNNNNNNNNNNNNNNNNNNNNNNNNNNNNNNNNNNNNNNNNNNNNNNNNNNNNNNNNNNNNNNNNNNNNNNNNNNNNNNNNNNNNNNNNNNNNNNNNNNNNNNNNNNNNNNNNNNNNNNNNNNNNNNNNNNNNNNNNNNNNNNNNNNNNNNNNNNNNNNNNNNNNNNNNNNNNNNNNNNNNNNNNNNNNNNNNNNNNNNNNNNNNNNNNNNNNNNNNNNNNNNNNNNNNNNNNNNNNNNNNNNNNNNNNNNNNNNNNNNNNNNNNNNNNNNNNNNNNNNNNNNNNNNNNNNNNNNNNNNNNNNNNNNNNNNNNNNNNNNNNNNNNNNNNNNNNNNNNNNNNNNNNNNNNNNNNNNNNNNNNNNNNNNNNNNNNNNNNNNNNNNNNNNNNNNNNNNNNNNNNNNNNNNNNNNNNNNNNNNNNNNNNNNNNNNNNNNNNNNNNNNNNNNNNNNNNNNNNNNNNNNNNNNNNNNNNNNNNNNNNNNNNNNNNNNNNNNNNNNNNNNNNNNNNNNNNNNNNNNNNNNNNNNNNNNNNNNNNNNNNNNNNNNNNNNNNNNNNNNNNNNNNNNNNNNNNNNNNNNNNNNNNNNNNNNNNNNNNNNNNNNNNNUGAGACACAUGUAACUUGACCUCUACAUACAAAGUGGCCCAUACAUAAUAAAUAUAAUAUAUAGAUAGCUUAAUCAUAAACAAUUAUUAAUGUAUGUGAGUUUAUAAUUAUUUUAACAUUUUUUUCCUAAAUGGGUCCAAAAAAAAAUAAAAUGAAAAGAUUAAAUAGUAAGGGAACUUUUUUCUUCAAAUUAACUAUUUUAAAAAAAAUCGUAGGUCUUUAUAAAAACAAAAAAAUUAGUUAUGUCUGAUUUUCAUAAACAUAAGAUAAGAAAAAAAUUAUUAAUAAAAUUUAUUUUCUCAUGUCUAGUUUUAUCAUGAAAAAUAUAAAAUAAAUAAAUUUAAUUAAAAUUUUAUAUAUUUUUAAAUUAUUUAAUCCAUAUACAAGAGUAAAAAUACUGUAAUGAGUUUGAAGUCACACAAAAAAAUAAAGAAAAUCUUUAAUAUAUAUAUAUAUAUAUAUAUAUAUAUAUAUAUGAUUCUCUCUCUCAAAAUCUUGGUCUUUUAAUUAAUUAAUUAAUAUAUAUAUAUAUAUAUAUAUAUAUAUAUAUAUAUAUAUAUAUAUAUAUAUAUUCACUGAAAAAAUCUGAUUUUACCCUAAAAAAAAUUCUGAUCUUCCCCUAAAAAAAUUCUCAUUUUCCAUUUAAAAAAAAAAAUUUGAUUUUUCCCUAAACAAUUAUGAGUUUAUCCUAAAAAUCCUAAUUUUAUAUUUUUUUUAAAAAAGAGAAAUUUGAUUUUCCCCUAAAAACUUCUGAUUUUCCAUCAAUAAUUCUGAUUUUUCCCUUAAAAAUUUCUAAUUUUCUAUUUUAAUUUUUUUUCUCUAUUUUUCUCUUAAAAAUUUGUAAUUUUACUGUAUUUUUUUCUCCCUUUCCAAAAAUAAAAUAAAUAAAAAGGGAGAGUAAAAAAAAAAAUUCUAAUUCAAUGACUUAAAAAUCUUGGAAUAAAAUAUGGGACUAAAACUUUGGAUAAAAAGACACUUGGACAAAUUUUGGGAUCUAUAAUAAGAAAGGAAAAAAAUAUCUUUAAAUGAAAUUAUUUUAUUAUAUUUGGUUAUACCUUUAAAAAUAUAAAGAUUGUGCUUGGUUCACCCAAAGUUUAAGGAAAAGGAAAAUAUGAAAAGUAGAAACAAAGAAAAAGUAAAAUAAAAAAAGGAUUUAAAAUUAAUAAAUUAUUUUUAUAUGCUAGUUUUAACUUAUUUAUCUUCUUUCAAUUCUUUUAUAUAAAGAUAAAAUGAUUUAAAAUGAAUAAAUUUUUAACUAAUUUUAAUUAUAUUUGACUUUCAUCACUAUUUUUCAUUAUAAAACCAACUAUGAAAAAAAUCAUUUCCUUUGUAUUUUUUUUUAAUACUUCCUUGAAACCAAACAUAAUAGAAAGAAAUUAAAUAUAAUUAAUUUUUUAUAAAAAUUUAUAUAUUUUUAAAUUAUUUAAUCUUUUUUAGAACGGUGAAAAUAAUUUUAGAACAAUUAAAGUAAAUAAAAUGAGUUUUAAAUAAUAUACAAACAUAAUUUAUUGACUUUAAAUUUAUUGUUUAUGUUUCUUCUACUUUUGUAUUAUGCCCCAUUCUAUGAAAGCACUAAGGGGAAAAGGAUAUUACUCUAUAUUUGGUUUUGGAAAAUACUAAGAAAAAAAUAUUAAAGAAAAUGAUUUUUUAUAUUUGGUUUUAUUAUUAAAAUAUAAAAGUAAUUUUACUCUAUUUUUUUCUCCCUUUCCAAAAAUAAAAUAAAAUAAAUAUAAAAAGAGAGAGUAAAAAAAAAAAAUUCCAAUUCAAUGACUUAAAAAUCUUGGAAUAAAAUAUGGGACUAAAACUUUGGAUAAAAAGACACUGGACAAAUUUUGGGAUCUAUAAUAAGAAAGGGAAAAAAUAUCUUUAAAGGAAAUUAUUUUAUUAUAGUUGGUUAUACCUUUAAAAAUAUAAAGAUUAUGCUUGGUUCACCCAAAUUUUAAGGAAAAGGAAAAUAUGAAAAGUAGAAACAAAGAAAAAGUAAAAUAAAAAAGGAUUUAAAAUUAAUAAAUUAUUUUUAUAUGCUAGUUUUAACUUAUUUAUCUUCUUUCAAUUCUUUUAUAUAAAGAUUAAAUGAUUUAAAAAUGAAUAAAUUUUUAACUAAUUUUAAUUAUAUUUGAUUUUCAUCACUAUUUUUCAUUAUAAAACCAACUAUGAAAAAAAUCAUUUCCUUUGUUUUUUUUAAUACUUCCUUGAAACCAAACAUAAUAGAAAGAAAUUAAAUAUAAUUAAUUUUUUAUAGAAAUUUAUAUAUUUUCAAAUUAUUUAAUAUUUUUUAGAACGGUGAAAAUAAUUUUAGAACAAUUAAAGUAAAUGAAAUGAGUUUGAAAUAAUAUACAAACAUAAUUUAUUGACUUUAAAUUUAUUUUUUAUGUUUUUUCUACUUUUGUAUUAUGCCCCAUUCUAUGAAAGCACUAAGGGGAAAAAAACAUUACUCUAUAUUUGGUUUUGGAAAAUACUAAGAAAAAAAUGUUAAAGAAAAUAAUUUUUUAUAUUUGAUUUUAUUAUUAAAAUAUAAAAGAAAAUCAAAUAUAAUUUGAAUUAGGUUAUAUUUUUAAAUUAUUUAAUCUUUAUAUAAAAGAGUAAGAAGAAGUAAAAUGAGUUUAAAAUUUGACUUUAAAUACGUGUAGACCCCUUUUUGCAAACCAAGUCCUAGUUUUUUUAUAUUAUUAUUGUUGCUUUUAUAAUUUGCAUCAAAGGGUAUUUCAUGGCCACUCGGGUAAGAGUUAAAAAUUUUCUUUUGAAGUGAGGGACCUCUUCCUGGAGGAGCCAAGCUGCAUGGACAUGUGGCAAAAAGCAUGGCUCACCAUGGGGGUGGUUGAAGGUGAUGACAUCCUCCUGAAUAAGAAGCAAUGGAGUAGGUAGUGGCUCGUGGGAGAAGGAGGCAAGGUCGGCUGAUUUAGGGGGGACUGAGACAUGAGAGAGGGAUAGGUGGGGGAAAGGAAAUUUUGAGAGAGUUUGAGAGAGAGAACCUGAGAAGAGGUGAGGUGGGUUGCUGGAGAGGAAGGAGAGCUCAAGGACAAUUCAAUCCGAUUCUAGGAGACGCUUUAGGUUUGUUCACUGUGAGCCAUAUAUUUCAUUAUUUUGUGUGCUAUUCUGCUGGACGUUUUUGGGUCGUUUAUGCACCUUUUGCUGCAAGUUAUUCCUCUGUUUCCUUGAUUUAGUUUGAAAAACUGGUGAGUGUUUUUUUUUUUUUUUAAAUGCUUUGAAUCUGCUUAACAUUUCUUUCCACCUGUAUCCAACUCAUUGAUCAUCAUGAAAUGGAGCUAGAUUUAACAGUGUGUUUUUCUCCUAUAUAUGCUUUGUUUUUUUCUUCACUUUCUUAUCUGUUUAUGGUGUUUUUGGAGUGUUGGGUAUCACAUAAAUGCUGAUGAAGUCAUCGUCUUCCUUCUCCUUUGCAUGGCCAAGCACGACCACGGUGAACCUUCAUUUCACCGUUUUCCCAACCUUCAUACUCUUAUCAUACCCAUCACUAUUCCACCACUCUCCUAUCUUUCAUACCCGCUAAACCCAUUUCUUUCACUAUAAACCCAUUUCAUCACUGAUAACCCAUACUCUUCAUACCCAUUUUUCCAUGCUCUCAUUACCCAUCAUAUCCUUCGCCAUGCCAACAUCCCCAUACCCACCACCUCCACUAUCGAAUCAUUUCCAAUAAGUCGACCAAUAUCCUUUACCCCUGAACCCAUCACCAUAUCAAACCACAUUCUCGCUCAUCCUUACCUCCUUAUCUUAUGUUGUCCUUGUUCUCAUUUAGUCUCUGCCAUGGCUUUUUGCUUCUUCUCAUACGCUAUGCCUCUCAUCUUGGCCUGAGCAUCACGAACCUCUCGAAGCUACAACCUCACAACAUGUGCGCCGAACGGGUUGGUCUCCGAUAAGCUCCCGUUCUCCUCGAAAGCUGCCUGGAGGUGGCUAACGAGUACUUCCAAGCUUCCCUAAGUUUGUUAGAGUGGGCACAGACGCGAAACCGACCAGUGUAGGUGGCCGAAGAAGGGAUACAUCCGGGUGUGCACCUUCAUCUUCUCGAACUAAUCGAGGUAUCGCAAAAAAAACUCCAACAACUUCAUUGCGGAGCGAGCAGUGUUGGUCUGAUUAUGCCAAGUCGUGGCGCGUUCCUUUUGCGCUGGAUUCAGUUGUGAAGCCUGCGUUCUAUUCGGCGGAUUCGACUUCGGAUUCCAGUUCUGUGCCGAGCACUCCGGUGCGGUCAGGGAUGGUGUAAUGACCAGGUAUUUUAUGUCACGUUAGUAUUUUUAGUUUGAAAAGUCUUAUUUUGAAUGAUGGUUGAAAAGUCAAAAAGAAAAGUGUCUGAAGAACACGUGUUAGUUUUGGAUUGGUGAAAUUCAAUUUAUUGUGUUUGGUCAAUUAGGUGAGUUGAAAAUUUUAUGUCAUGUCAGCUUUAGGGUGGAAAUUUCUUAGGAUUUUAGUAAUUGGGAAUUUCCGGAAAAGAAAAAAAAAACGAAAACAAAAAUGAAAAGUUAAUUAAUUAAAAUUAAUUAGAAUUAAAAAAAAUAGAUAAUUAAAUUAAAUUCCUUAUUACUAAAAAAAUUGAGAAAAAUAUUAAAUUGUGUGUUUUAUAAAAAUAAAGAGAAAAGAAAAAAAAAAAAAAGGGAGUAAUUUGGGCUUGGAUGAAAUAGGGUUUUAAAAGGAAAAGAAAUGGGCUUGAGUGGGCUUAUUUAAAAGGAAAAGGAAUGGGCUUGAGUGGGUUGUUUAAAAGGAAACGAAAUGGGCUUGAGUGGGCUGUUUGGUAAGUGAAUUAAAAAGAAAUGAGCUUAAGUGGAAAAGAAGGGAACAGUAGCAGAUCUGGGAGAAAAGGGGCGACGACACUGUAGAAAAUCUCACCUCGCCGGAGCUUUGACCGGUCGUUUGGGUGGUCAAACGACCUCCGUUUCAGCUUAGAUUUGGAGGGGGUGUUCUAUUCGACGAGGGGAACAAUCCUACGAUGGCCAAUCGUAUUUUUAGCGGCUGAAUUCUUAGAUAUGUGGUAGGGGACCCUAACCCUAAAACUUAAAUUUUUAUGUUUUUCCCUUGAAAAAAAUUGUAAAUAUUGUCAUUAUGAGUUAAUUAGGAAUUAUGGGGAUUGUAUGAAUUUUUCUAGAAUAUUUGGAAUUUGUUUGGAAUUUUUGUAAUUGCGGGAAAUUGAUUUUGAUUGAUAAUUAAUUGUUUUGAAUUGUAAAAAAAUUAUUGGAAGGGUUGAAAAAUUCCAAAAUUAAGGCUAAAUUUCAAAAAUAGUGAUUGGUGAAUUUUUAGGCAUUAGUUAGAAAAUUUUUGGAAUUUUUAUGAUAGAAAGUUAGUUAAUUUCGAAUAUUAGAAAUUAUUAUAAUGGUUGAAAAAUUCCGUAAGUAUGGUAAAAUUUCAAGAUUUUUGAUAUGCAAAUUUUUGAAUAUUUAUUUGGGAUAUUAUCAGAAAUUUUAAUGUGUGAAAUUAUUUUAUUGGAUUAUUGGGGAAUGUUGAAAUUGUUGAAUUAUUGAGGAACCUUGGAAUUGUGGCAUUCAUUUUCAUCAUGGUUAUGUGGAAAAUAAAUAAAAUUAUGAAGAUUGUGAAAAGUGUAUGAAAUGGAAAAAAAAAAGAAAAGAAAUAGUGAUGAGAAGUGAAAGCCGUGUGGAGCGAAUUAAGAAGGGAGAGAGAUCCUUAGGGUGAAAGACCCAAAAGUUACCCCGGGAAGACUCCGAAUGGGGAGUGUAUUUGGGUGCGGACGCUUAUCCUUCGGUGAAAGCCCAAGAACAAUAGUGCAUUGUAUGACUGUGUGUCAUACGUUCAUGUGCAUUCAUGUAAUUGUUGAAUAUUGUGAAAUUGUGUAUAAAAUUAUAUAUUAAACUAUGUGGUUUGAUUGAUAUUGUUGAAUUGUCCUGUGGUGUUGAAGUGUUCUUUUCGUAUUCUUUGAAACUUAGUAAUCCCCUUAACCCCUUGGGUGUUAGGCACCCUACUAAGCAAUGUGGAAAUGCUCACCCCUUCCUUGUUACACUUUUUUAGAUGCAGAUAUCUCUCUUGAGGAUCCACAGGUGGAGCAGGAAGGACUUCAGGAUGCUCCUGGAGCGGCCUAGUGGAGCGUGACAUUUUCUGUUAUUGUGUUUUUUGUUUGGAUUUUGGGAUUUGUUUUAGUAAUUAUGACUCAUGGAUUUGUUAUGAAGCUUUAUUUUGAUUAAGUGUUAAUUGUGAACUUUUAUUUUGAACUAUAAUGAAUAUUUAUUUAAUCUUGUUGUUUUGAGUAGUUUUGGGAUAUUGUGGUUUAUGAGAAUUCUAGUGGGAUGUAUAAAAAAAAAAUCCAAAGUGUUUUGGUUGACUGCCAACGUGGAAUAAAAGGAACCCUUAGGGUCAAACCUUUGACCUGGGGUCACGGGUCAAAUUUUGGGUCGCCCGGAAUUUGGGUCGUGACAGAUGGCAAGGUCGAAGAUGUCGGGAGUGGUGUUGAGGUCCGACUGGAAGGAAUUAACGGACGAGAGAGUGAAGGUUUGUGAGUGUAUGAUGCGUUCUCUCGAGUCGGAUCAGAAUAGCUAUGUUUUUAAGCAAGUGGCGGGAUAUUUGGCUACAAAGAAACUCAGUUUUGUGUUGUUGGUAAGGAAUGAUGAGUGUGGGCCCCACUCUUACAUGGCCAUGGUCUCUGCACCACCUAAAAGACCAUAUCUCAUUAUUUAUUUAUUUUUUAUUAUUCUUCAUACCUUAAUAUCAAAGUUUAAUUUUUCAAGUUUCCAAUCCUUAAAACUUAAUUUUUCGAAAUUCUAUUCUUAAAUUUACUUUUUAAAAUAAUUUUCCAAAAUUCUAAUUUUUGAGUUUAAAUUUUCGAAACCCCAAUUUCUCUUGAAUUUAAUUUCUAAAAUUCCAAUUCUUAAAAAUAAUUUUCCAAAAUUCCAAUUCUUAAAUUCAAUUUUCUGAAACUCCAAUUUCUUAAAUUUAAUUCUUCAAAGUUCAAUCCUCGAAAUAAUUUUCUAAGGUUCUAAUUUUAAAUUUAAUUUUCCAAGAUCCAAAAUUUUAAAUUUAAUUUUCUAAAAAUUCCAUAAUUCCGAAUUUAAUUUUUAAAAUGUCACCUCCAAAUAAAUUUUUGAAACUCCAUUCCUUUCAAAUCAAAUAUUCAAAAAUUCAAUUCUCAAAUAAUUCUUCAAAAUUCUUUUUUCUUAGAUUUAAUCUUCAAAUUUCCAUUUUCAAAUAAUCUUUUUUUGAAAUUCUGAUUCUCAAAUUUAACUUCUAAAACUUUUAUUUUUAUUUUUUAUUUUAUAAUUCUUCGAAAUUUCGAUUUUCAAAAUUAAUUUCCAAAUUUCGAAUUUUCUCAUUUAUUUACUUAAUCAUUAUUAUUUUCGUUAUUUAUUUAUUUAUUUAUUUAUUUAUCUAUUUUUAAAAUUCCGAUUUCCAAAUUUAAUUCACAACUUUCAAAAUUCCAAAUUUUCAAUUUCUGAAUUUGAUUUUCAAUUCCCAAAAUUCCAAUUUUCACAUUUAUUUAUUAUUAUUAUCAUUACCGUUAUUAUUAUUAUUAUUAUUAUUAUUAUUAUUAUUAUCAUUAUUGUUUUAUUUAUUUUUUUUUUUGAAGAAAAAUUUCAUCUUCAAAUAAUUUUCAAGUUUCCAAUUUCUAUAAUUUAAUUUUCAAAACUUCGAUCCUCAAGUAAUCUUCCAUUUCUCUUGAUUUUACAUAAGUAAGAAUAAAUUUUCUUAAUUCCGAAAUAAUGAAAUUUGUGAGACCAAUUCAUGUUAGAUAAAUUGAGUUUUGGUAAGGGCCCUACCUAUGAGUUUUCUCUUCUGAUUGUUGAUUGUUAUAUUUAAUGAAUGUUGCUUAAUCUUAGUCUUGUUCUUUGAUUUGCAUGUGAUAAUUUUAUACUUGAACUAACAUUGUUUCCAUAAUAGCGCAUAAUGGCUUGCUGCUAAGGUACGCACCCACUCACACUUUGAUCGUUCUCCAUGCACGUUUUGGCUCCAAGUGUAUGAUCACUUCUUGGUAUAUGUGUUUGAUAAAUCAAUUGUCAUAUGUGCUUCAUUUCAUCAGUAGAGACCCAUUUUUAGGGACUUAGAGGGGUGUUAUGGUCUUUACUAUACCUUCCUAAUAAGUAACCUGACCCCCGAGCCCGAUUUGAUUUUUCACAGACCACAUUUUCCAAAUAAGGAGUCAUACUUAGAGUUUUCUUUCUUAUUUUGUUUACCCUUUAAAAAUAAAACAAAAAUAAGUGGCGACUCCAAGUCUUUUUUCUAAAAUUAAAAAAAAAACAUAUAAUAAUAAUAAUAAAUAAUAAAUCAUUUUCAAGUAGAAAACGAGUUUGCCAUUGAGUGGAAGUGCAUGAACCGAAAUACAGGGUCCACAAAAUGAUGACUCUAUUAGGGAUCAACUAGAGGGUUAAGCUUAAACUUAAGAUGAGGCAAAUGUGGCGUUUGAUGGGUCGAUCAGUGGGUACCUAUCUCUUGAUUGCACAUUGAGAGCUCUUGGUAUCAUUGGACGCAUGCUUGGUUAUUGUAUUCAUUUGGGACAUUGACAUGCUAAUUGUGUUGAUUGAGGAUUCUGAUAUAGCGAUGUUUCUAUGCUUCAUUGCUAUAUUCGUUUGAGACAUUGACACGUUGAUUGUAUUGAUUGAUUAUUUUGCUUGUCUUAGCAUAGUGACUUUGAUUUUGUCAUGAUUGUUCUGUUCACUUCACAUGCAUAGACUUACUGUUGUAUAUCAUUUGACUUGAUGUGUUGAUUCUCUGGCUUGGAUAUUAUCUUGAUCAUCUUUGAGCAUGUUGUAUUUGUCAUUAUUCAUUUUGAUUGUCAUAGCUUGUAUAUGGACAUGAGUGGUAUAUUCAUACUUUGCUUGAUUGUAUGUUGCAUGACUGCUCUCCUCUGUGUGAUUGCAUGCCGCUUGUCCGUGUUGGCCGCACAUCAAUCCUCUUACCUCCAACCCUCUAGUUUCGGUCAUUUCCUGAUAAUUUUAUACUUGAGUUAACAUUGUUUCCAUAAUAGCGCAUAAUGGCUUGCUGCUAAGGUAUGUACCCACUCACACUUUGAUUGUUCUCCAUGCACAUCUUGGCUCCCUGUGUAUGAUCACUUCUUGGUAUCCGCGUUUGAUCAAUCAAUUGUCAUAUGUGCUUCAUUUCAUCGGUAGAGACCCAUUUUUAGGGACUUAGAAAGGUGCUACGGUCUUUACUGUACCUUCUUAAUAAGUAACAUGACCUCCGAACCUGAUUUGGUUUUUCACAGACCACCUUUUCUAAAUAAGGAGUCACACUUAAAGUUUUUUUUCUUCUUAUUUUGUUUAUCCUUUAAAAAUAAAACAAAAAUAAAUGACGACUUCAAGUCAUUUUCUAAAAAAAAAAACAUAUAAUAAUAAUAAUAAUAAUAAAAUAAUAAAUCAUUUUCAAGUAGAAAGUGAGUUCACCAUCGAGUGAAAGUGCAUGAGCCGAAAUGCGGGGUUCACAAUACGUUUUUUAUUUAUUUAUUUUCUUUCGUUUUUUUAUCCUUCCACUUUUUCCUUCUAUUUUCUUUUUUUUUACAUUUUCUCUUGAAAUUUUCAAGAACUAAAUAUGACUUAAGGAAAAUGAUUUUCUUAUUAUUGUUUUAUUAUAAAAAUAUGAAAUAAAUAAAUAAAUAUAAUUAAAAUAAUUAGAAACUUAUGCGAUCUCACUUAUAUAGAAAAAUUAAAAUAAGUGAAAUGAAUAUGAAGUACCAUAUGAAAAUAAUUUAUUCACUUUAAAUAUAUUUUUAUUUUUCUUUACUUUUUAUUUUUUUCUACUUUUCCUUUCUUUUUUUUUUUUUCCUAUUUUUCCUCAAGUCUUGAAGGAACCAAACAUAAUCUAAUACAUUCCAUUUUCUACUACUAUUUAUUUUUUUAAUCUUUUACCCUCAUAUUUUCCCGGUAAGUAAACAUAUAUUAUUGAUUGGAAUGGAGGGGACUCAAAUUUUGAUCCUAGACAAAAGGUCCUAGUCAACAAAGAGGAUAGUCAUUAGCCACUCAACAUUUAUGGCCAAUUUAUAUCAAACAUUAUUGACAUGUUUGAUAACUAUUUUCAAAAAUAGUUCUACAAAAAUUAUUUUUGAUAAUAGUUUUCUGUUAUAUGAUAUUUUGUAAAGAAAAAAUAUGUUUGAAACUUCAAAUGUUUUUAAUCUAUUUUUAAUAUUUUUAAAUAUGUUUCAAAAAUAAUUUUUAUGCUUAAUGUUUUUUUAAUCAUUUUACAUCUUUUGCAUAAUUAUUUUUUUAAAACAACCUUUGGAAAAUAAAUAAAAAAACAAAAAAAAAAUUAAAAAUGUUAUCUAAAAAUACCUUAUUUUUUUGUUUUUAAGAACAAAAAACGCAAAACAAUUUUGGGUUGUUAAACAUGCUUUCCUAUUUUUUUUUUUUUUUUUGAAGAAUAGAAAAUUGCUUUUAAAAAUAGUUGUCAAAUAACCCUAUAUCUUUUCAUGUUACAAAAACCAAUCGUGUUUGAUAAUUAUUAACAAACAUAAUUUUCUAUUUUUUGGAAUAGAAAAUAUUUUUAAAAUUUUAAAAUUAUGUUUAACGGAUUUUGAAUUGAAGAUAGAUUGAGAAUUGAAAAUAUGAUUAUUUUUCAAAAUAAAUUUGAGGUGUUUUUUAUAGAGUGUUUUGAAAAAUACUUGAAUAUACAAAGAAUAGAUUGUAAACAUAGUAUUAUCUAAAUUUGUAUAUUGCUUUCAUGUAAGAUUAAUUGAGAAAAUGGUUGGCAAGAGUUGAAUUCUUAAAAAUGAUUUUGUUUCUAAAAUUCUAAAAAUAAAAAAUAAAAUUACUUUUGACCAAGUGUUAUCAAAAACUAUUAUUGAGAUUUUUUUUAAUACAUAAUAAAUUAGAGCCAUAUUAUUAUUAUUUUUUUUUCCUUUUAGAUUGCGUUAAACUUUAAUGUUUUUAAGGAAAGAUUUUUAGUUCUGUGUUAUGUCUCUUAUGUAUCUAAGUGGGUCUUUAGUAAACCAACUUUUAAAGUGAUUUAAUAACUUAAUUUAAGUUAUUAAUUAAAUUAAGUAUGUUUAGUAAAAUAAAUUAAUGAUAUGAUUUAGAGUAAAAAACAAUUUUAAGUAAUAAGUAAAAACAAUUAACUUAUUUUUAAGUUUAUAUCUUUAUUUUACCUUUUUACCCUUAUUUAUCCUAAUUACCUUAAGGAUCUCAUUUGCUACUCCAUGACCUCCAUUCUUACUCAACUUCCUUUGCCCUAAUUAUAAUUUAUGAGAAUAAAUAUAUAAAUUUGAUGACUUAAAAUAUAUUUUAAAUUAAUUUUAUCAAAUAACUUAAAAAUAAAAAUUAAAUAAUAAGUUUUAAGUUAAUAACUUAAUUAUAAUUUAAUUUAAAGUCAACUUAAGUCAUUAAGUAAUAAGUAUUAAGCUUUAUCAAACAUUCCCUAAGGUUAUAUUUGAUUCUUGAAAAGUUUGAGGGAAAAUGUAAGGGAAAGAAAAUAGAGAAGAAAAGUAAAAGGAAAGAGAAAGAGAAAGUGAAGGAAAAUAAAAAAUAGAUUUAAAAUAAAUAAAUAAUUUUUAUAUACUAUUUCAAACUUUUUUUUAUUAUUUAUUUAACUCUUCUAUAUAAAGAUUAAAUAAUUUAAAAAUAUACAAAUAUCUUAAUAAUUUUAAUUAUAUUUAACUUUCUUUUGUAUUUUUAUAAGAAAAUUAAAUAUGAGAAAAUUAUUUUCUUCAACAUUUUUUUUCUUUCCCUAAUAUUUUCUAAGAACCAAACAUAGCCUAAGUCCUUGCCUAAAGUAUGGAAUGUCUUUGGCUCAAAAUCAUAUAAUAUAUUUACUUAUAAUAAUUUUAAAAUAUAUAAUCAAUUUUAGGGUUAUAAAUUUAUUUAAAAGAGUAAAUAAAAUAUAUUGAUGGUGAUUACUUCUUGGUGAUCACCAUAAAAUGCAAUUAUAGAGUUCAAAUAUAUAUAAAAAAUAUGAAUAAAUUUUAUAAAAUUCAAUAACAUAUAUAAAAGAUAUUGAAGGUCUAUAAUCUUAUGAAGAUCAAUUAUAAACUUAUAAAAUGUGUUGAAAAUUUGAAAUUUGUUACACAUGUGGGCUGAAUGUUGAAUCAAUGCAAGUCUAAAGCUUGAGAACUUAGGCCCAAUUCCAUGGUGACUGCACCAUGGAAUUGGGCUCCAAGGGCUGGACAAGCCCAAUUCCAUGGUGCAGUGACCUUUUCUUUCUUUCUUUUUUAAUUUUGAAAACAUAGCGUGUUGAGCCUCGAGAAGCCCAGGUCCAAUUAGUAGCUGAAAUGAAAAUAAGACACACGUCUAAAAAAAUGUUUUUUUUUCUUGUUCUUUUAUAUAUAUAUAUAUAUAUAUAUAUAUAUAUAUAUAUAUAUUGAAACAUGAAAAAAAAUGACAUUUUUAAUAUUUUCCAAAAUGAUCCAUUCUAUUUUCUAACUUUAGAAAAAGAAAGAAAGAAAGAAACAUGUCUAAUUUGAAAUGGUAUGAAACUAACAAAAGAAAAUUUGAAAUAGUAUAAAUCGUUGUCAAAAUUUUUAAAAACUUUAUUUAUUUAUUAUUAUUUUUUAGUAAAUUUGCUCUCACACGCCAUAUAAAUUUUUAAGUAACCCUUUCGUGUAAGGUCAAGGGUCAGUUGCUUUUACAAACAAGUUUGAAACAAGAAAUUUAAGAAGUUGAUAUUUUUUCUAAACGGAUUAGAUAUCCAUCACUUUUCAUAUGAAAAAUUUUCAAAUGAUGAGAAAAAAGUUGACAAAAAUUUUAGAAGUGAAAAACUAGGAAAAGUAAAUUAAAAUUGGGGACCAUGUAAUUGAAUAUUCAACAAAAUUUUUUUAAAAAAAAACAAACAAAGAAUGAGAUCCAACAUUUGACUAUAUGAAAUAGGAAAGGAGGCAUGAGGCAUGCGUCUCUCACUACAUCAAGGUGUGAACAUGACCCAAGCUAGAGUAUCUGCAUACCUCAUUAUAUCUAUUCACCCAAGGCACCACCACACCUCGUGUGGAAAGAAUCAAAGCCACGCACCCAACACACUACACUUUGUUUUUUCUUUCAAACAAAUCUUUGUGCCAAUGCCCAUCUGGCUAGGUUUCCUCCUUUGGUGAUUGUGUGCUAUAAUGGAUAUGGUAUAGUGACACCCAUGAACAUAAACUUUUCAUGAAAUUUACACAAAAUUAUAAGGAUGUUAAUUUAGAUUGUUAAAUAAAUAUUCAAAAAAAAAAAAAGAUACAAAAAUAAAUGUUAGACUAAGUUUGUUGUCAUAGAUAGUAAGUUAUUGAAAUGUUACUUUUGGAUACCAUGAUAUGAUCCAAAAUUAUAUUGAGCAAAUUGGUGAUAAAUUAAGAUGGGAUAAGUGAUAAGAAACACUUGAUAUGAUUCAAAAACCCGAAAAAUUAUACAUAGUUCUUUUGGUUUAAAGAUGGAUUUGAUUUUUGGGACCUUAUGCUCAACACGAAAUUAUAUUGGCUUCUAUAUGAGAUUUAAAUUUAGGAUAUUUAAAUUUUAAGUGACGAUAAAAAUGAAAUAGAAUAAUUCAGAAUCUAAAUGAACAAAUUCAGGCUGGAAAAGGGUCUAAAAACUUAAGCUCAUGUGAACCAACAAAGAAUAUGAAGCUAUCAAAUUAAAAUUAUCAACCUAUGCCAACAUCAAAUUUGUUUUUUCAUCAAACCCUCUUUGACACAUGUUGCUAUUUGAAUCCCAUUGCAUGGAGCUCCAUGCCUUGGUUGACCUCUAAAUCAGCUUCUUUCUUUUCUUUUUCUUCUUUUUUUUCUUCCCUUUUUCAGGUGAUGAACAUCAAUAUUAAAAUAAUUGCAUAUUAAAAAAAGAAAAAUUCUAAUCACUUGAACUUACAUCUAUAAAUAGUGGAAAAGCCUUCUCAUGGCCAACACACAACCUCCUCACGCAACUUAUAUACCUAGUCUCUGUUCAAACCAUGGCUUCUCUGCAGCAAUCUUCCCUCAAAACCAAUGUCUCCACUGAGCUUCUCAUAGCUCGCAUUGUACAAAUCCAUGCCAACAUCUGCAAGCUUGAGUCCCUGAGGCCUUCAAAGCAAGUCAACAGCCUCUUCACCCACCUUGUGAAGCUCUGCACCCCUCCAUCAUCCAUAGACAUCACAGCCUUACCAGAAGAAAUUCAGCUGAUUCGCCAAAGCCUCAUAACUCUCUGUGGCAGAGCUGAAGGCCUACUUGAGCUUGAGUUCUCAACUUUCCUCACAAAUGUCCCCCAAGCCCUCAACAAUCUCAACCUGUUUCCAUACUAUGGGAAUUAUGUUAAGCUGGCCAACUUGGAGUACAGAAUUCUUAGUGACAAUGGGGUUGUGCAGCCCAAGAAGGUGGCCUUCAUUGGCUCUGGUCCACUGCCUCUUACCACCCUUAUAAUGGCCACACAUCACAUGAAAUCCACCUGUUUCGACAACUUUGAUAUGGAUGAAUCAGCUAACGCUGUGGCUCGCCAAUUGGUAGCCUCUGAUGCUGAGCUGCAGAGGCGCGUGAAGUUUGAGACUCGCGAUAUAAUGGAAGUUAGGGACAAGCUUGGGGAGUAUGACUGCAUCUUUUUGGCAGCACUGGUGGGGAUGAGUAAGGAGGAGAAGGUUAAGAUUCUUGGGCAUGUGAGGAAGUAUAUGAAGGAAGGGGGAACUCUACUUGUGAGAAGCGCGAAAGGGGCUAGAGCUUUCCUGUACCCUGUGGUUGAGGAGGAGGACUUGCUUGGAUUUGAGGUUCUCACCAUUUUCCAUCCUACUAAUGAAGUCAUCAAUUCAGUUGUUCUCGCUCGCAAGCCUAUCGAUUAAUUCAGAUAAGCAAAAAUCUGCUUCCUUCUCUGCUAGUUUUUUCGGUUAACUAUGUGUCUACGCUUAUGUUUUUUGUGUUGUGAACUCCUCCUUUCUCUCUAGUUUUCUGGUUUUCAAGUAACAUGUACUCUUUAAGGUCUGUUUUGUACCAGUACCAUCUAUGAGUCCUGCUUUGAAUUCAACAUUUAGUAGUUUCUGGACCGGGUUUCAUUGAAUGGCAUACUAUCAUUUCGCAAGUUCUGAUAAAAUGAAAGCAAGCAAAAUGAAAGAGACUGAACAUGAAAUGAUCCUCACUGAUCCAUUGGCUAUGACAAUCUCUACAAUAAACAGAGUGUUCCACUGAAUCUAAUAAAAAAUUCUAUCUAAUCUUUAAUUCAAAUCAGCAGCUAGCUCUGUAUCACUAUUAACAAGGGAUUUAUCCCCACUUGAAUAAUAAUCAGCAAAUCAGCCUUGUAUGGUGUGAUUAGUUGUAAGGCAGCUUCAAGGAAAAGGCAAGGGCUUGAUCACAAAUUAGGCGGGGCCGUUGUAGUUAAACUGCAAUAUAAAAGUACUCAGAUCAAGGAGAGAUCCUUAUGUAUAACAGAUCAUUAAAGAACUAUUGCAAAACACUGUUGUCUGCAACUAGCUGAGGAAUGUGGUUCUUAACAAGACUUUGUUAUACCUGUUUCACCAUUGCGCUAAGGUCAUCAUCCAUGGACCUACAACUGUUGAGAUGGAUGCUACUCUCUGUGUCUAAAUUCUCCUGACAAUGCUGCAUAAAUAUCUGGCUAUUUACGUUUAAGCUCUCCAUGUUUGGACCUUGUAUGUUGAGUGGACACCCUGCUGUUGUUUGCCCCCGAUUGAAGUUAACCAGGCCUCCCUCAUGUUGAACUGAAACAACAAACCAAUGAUUCAGUUGCAAGAAAUCUGAACAGCUAGUUUCUCAUCUGCAGAUGACAUUCAUAUUGGGAAAAUUGAAGGAUCUCAUGAAGUUACCUAGAGAGAAAUUUGGAUUGACAGUCUCCAUUCCAGUUGAAGCAUCUGGUAGUGUUUGAUAAGGUGAAGGAGAGAAAUCAGCGAAUGCGAAAGAGGGCUCGGGAAAUGGCAAAGGGCAAGGCUCAGAGCUGGUGCUAUAAUUAGGAAAUUGCGGAGAAACAUCCAUGGAGCCAUCAGGCAGCUGUUGUCCUGGAAAACAGGUCUUAACCUUUGGCCCACUGAACUGUGGCAGAGGACAAGGUGGUCUUCCCGGCCACGCUGGAGCUGAGAGGAGCCCUCCAAGCCCAGGCAAAUGCAUCCUUGAAGACACAGCCAAUUGAGGAGAUUGCAGGCACUGCUGGAACAACAUAUCUUGAUUCUCCACAGGUUGCAGGAGGGGCUUUGCAUACAUAAGGGAAGAGCUAGGUGUAUAAGGCUUCUCAGCUUUAGUAUCACCAUUUACUUCCCAUCUGCUAUCCGGGUUUCUUGAACCAUAGCCUUGGCUUUCAGAAAAGAUGGCAGCAUGUGAUGGGCGCCGGCCCCUUCUACUCGGAUCAAGGUUACUAUUAUCCAUUUGUUGGCUCACUUUAGCGCAAUUCUUCCUCAGCAUUUUUCUGUACUUCUACAUGAGCCAAAUCGCAGAUUAGAUUAGACUAUAUGUAUGCGAAUAAAACCCGAAUAAUGGAGGACGAAUACUGAAGUUGAAUUCACCUGUAGAUGGCUAGCAACAUUCUCCCUACUAAGCCCUGGCUCGUUCAUGAUUUCAAGUAUUUUCUUUGGAACCGCCUCUGCAGAUACAAAAGGCAUGUAAGAUUGAGUUAGACCUAAACCACAUUACGAGAAACGACUACUUUUUAAAUCAAACACCUACUAUCUGCUGUUUCCAGCUGGUGAAUGGCGUUGAGAAAUUUGAUAUGGAGCUCAGACGUCCAAUUAAGCCGCUGUUUCUUCCGGACAGAUCCAUCUUCAAAAGAAUGUUCCUUGGGAUGAUCUUCUUCUUCUUCUUCUUCUUCUCCUCCUCCUUUCUCCUUGCUUUUCUCCAUCUCCAUAGCUUUUUCCUCCUUGACGCCAGGCUUACCGGAAUCAAACAAAUUUUUCCUUACAACAUGCUGCCAUAUGUUCUUGAUCUCCAACACCCUCACAGGCUUCAGCAGAUAGUCCCGGGCGCCAUGCCUUAUCCCCUUCAAGACCGUGCUUCUGUCGUCGUUCACAGACGUCACUGCAACUCAAAAUAAUCACCAUAUCUGAAUCAAUCCAUGGUCGGAGAAUCAUCAUCAAGAAACAGAUGAUCAUUAAUGGCCGGUUUCUAAGGUUACUUACUGAUUACUGGUAUGUCCAUUUCGAGUCCUAUGAUCUUCAGAAGCGUGAAUCCGUCCAUGUCCGGCAUCUUCACGUCGGUGAUCACAAUAUCGAAAUUUUCUCGGUUCUCCCUCAACAUCUCCAGAGCUUCACAAGCCUUCGUUGUAGCAGUAACUGCAUCAACCCAGUUCAAUUUUUUUCACAAGAAUUAAACAUAUCAAGACAAUAUCCAACCAUGAAUUUUUCCAUAAGUUCUUACAGAAUCUAACCAUGAAUUUAAGGGGUUUCUUGAAACAACUCGUUCUUGAAUAUAAGAUCAAGGGUUUUAUAUAUCGAUCAAGAAAGCAUCAGAAACUGACCUUUGUACCGACAUUGCUCAAGCAAAGUUACGAGGAUUUUCAGACAAACUAUAUUGUCAUCAACCGCCAGGACCCUCAAGCCAUCCGGAAACUGGGUUCCAUCAGGACUCGGGGUUUCAUAAUCGUCCGACAUAUCAAGUCCAAAAACUUGCAGAUUCCAAAAGCUUCUUGAAAGUUGACGAGAUUUUCUUGUUUUUUUCUCGGGAGAAUCUAGGAGAAUAUGGGAAAGGAAAUAAAAGUUAUGUGAAAGUCAUCUGGAUUUAAAAAGGGAAGAGAAUUAAGUAAUGUGUGAAAUAUUCCUAGAAUCAUGAGAAAGAGACAAUAAAUGGAAACUAACAACAAUGCCAAAACGGCAGUUACCUUUUAGCAUUUUCCAGGUCUAAAUUACUUUCUUUUUAAUUUUUUUUUAAUAAUAAUAAUAAUAAUUAUUAUUAUUAUUAAGUCCAGUGUACUGAAAGGUACGCCCCGACAAUUUCUAUUUUAAAAUCACAAUUAUUAAUUAUAGUUUUAAGAUGAAACAAAAUUUUAAAAUAACAAAAUAAAAGUAAAAAAAAUUAGAUAGGUAAAUAUCUUGAGAAGUAACCUAGAUGUAGGAUUUUUAUUUUAUUUUAUUUAUUUAUUUUUAUAAAAAAAGGAUUAUUAAUUUGUAUUUUACAUGUUCCUAAUAUAGAUUUUUCCAUAUUAUUAUUAUUAUUAUUAACUGGAAAAUAGGAUUAAUUUAAAAGAGAUGCCAUGAACUCAUGUGCUACUAAUAAUUUCUUUAUUACAGCAAGUAAAUAUAUUUAUGAACUGAAUUUUAUAAUUAAUAUAUGAAAGGUUUAGAAUUAUUAUUGCAUGGUGCAAGACCAUCUUAAAUGCAAUGAUUGAAUAAAGAAAAUAUUAGGGAUAGUUUAAGUGUUAUAAUUUUGUUUUUGUUAUUAGUUAUAGUGGGUCAUCUUAAUUAAAUUAUUUUCUUAUUUUUGUUAUGAAAUUAAUGAUAUUUAGUUAUAAAGUAAAAUUAGAUAAGUUGUGUAAUAAAGUGAAAUUGAGGAUAAAAUCUUUUAUUGGUUUAGUAAAUUGCAUAAAAUUUGUUAUUAUUAAUUUUUUAAAAUAUGAAAGUUUAAAAAAUAUUUUCAAAUUUAUGAUAAAAUAAAAAAAUCAAAUUAAAAGUUAAACUAAAAUUGACUUUGAUGUUUUAAAUUUAGAAAUAGCUUUUAAACUUCUUCUUCUUUAAUAUAAAUUUUAAAUAUUUUAACAAAUAUAUUUAUGUCAUAAAAUAAAAGAAUGAGAAAAUCAAAGAAAAGAAGAGAGAAUAAACAUAAAUACUAAAAAAAAGUGGAAUAAAAGAAAACGGAAUGAAUUUUCAUUAGAGAUCUUCCCUCUUAUAGGGAGUCACAAAGAAAUAUACAUUAUUACAAAUGAUCAUAAGAGUAUGCCUUAUUAAAACUUUACUAGGAAAAACCAUAUGGAAAAAAUUUUAGUGAAGGAAAAAGAGUAUAAUAUUCUUUUGGACUACUGCAAUUGUCUCGUUAAAAACCCUGUUAGUAAAACCCAAUGGGACAAAUCCUAGAUGAAGGGAAAAAGAAUAUAGUGUAAUGAUUUUCUUAUCAAUUAGCUUCCCCUUUGACAUGAUUAUAUUUUCUUUAAUAGCUCAACAUAAAGAUUUUUGAGUCGACGUAUUCCAAUCAGCUUCUUGAGUAUUGUAAUUGAUAAUGCCUUUGUGAAUAAAUCUACUAAAUAGUCACUUGAUCUUACUCAUUAAACAACAAUUUUCAUUAUUCUUUUGGAGUUGAUGAAUAUAAAAAAACUUGGGUGAUAUAUGCUUAAUUUUAUCACCUUUAAUGCAUCAUUCUUUAAUCUAUGCAAUGCAUGUAACAUUAUCUUCAUAUAACUUGGUAAUAUUACCUUUGAUGGAGUGUAGUGCACAUGUUUCCAUUGUUCGCUUAAUUGAUAUUCAUAAUAUUGUGGCUUCAACUUAAAUUAAUAAUAAUAAGACUAUUUUGCCCAAAACAACAAACUCACUGAGAGAGAGAGAGAGAGAGAGAGAGAGAGAGAGAGAGAGAGAUUAGAGUGGAGGAUGUAUGAAUCCCCACUGAGGAUCCCCAGGAAAUCGAAGUCGAUUUCAUUAUGGGUUGGCCCUUGUGAAGAUAACUGCAAUUAAUUACACACAUACAUGAAUGAGAACUACAUACUAAUAAGGAGAACAAGUAAUAUGAAAAAAGACAGGCUUACAUAAUAGGCAGUGACAGUGCCAGCAGAAUUUCCAGGAACAGGUUUGAGCUUCAUGUCAAUCUUCCCAAACAGAUGCUCAUUCUUGGACUGGAAACCAGAUCCAGAUGUCUUGUCAAGGGAAAGAGUGAGUAGCUCUCCAUUGUUGAGUAUCUUAGCACGCCCAUUCUCCCAAGUGAUGUCAAAGUCUUGGUUGAAGUUACCUGCUGUGGCAGCCAUUAAGAAGCUCACUGCUACAGAGAUUAGCAGGGCCAUUGAGGGAUAUGCUGUAUGGUUGGUAGGAGGUGUUUGAAGAUAAGAGUUUGAUUUCAGUGAAUUAAAAUUGAUCUCUCUCAGCUCACAUUUAUUCUAAUGGUGGAGAGAGAGGGGUUACUGUCGGGAUGGUUCGAAGUUAGAGAGCCAAAAAAUGAGUUGCAUACAGCUGGCAGUGGCAUAAGUACUCAUAAUAAUUAAUACAACCAAAAUUGCCUUAAGUGAUAUUUUUAAAAUCAUCACAAUAACGUGGUAAUAUGGUAUCGCAAUCCAAAAGUACUCAGCAAAUAUCCUUGCUUUUAACUUCUGCCGCGCCCCUUAACCAGGUCUGGAGUCCUUUCCAGUAUAUCAAAGUAGUUAAAAGCUCACAAAAGCUUAUCCUGAUCAUUUGACGUUGAUCAUUACUUGAUUCCAAUCAUUUUCUUUUUACUGUAGUAAAGCCUUUGGCUUAAGAUCCAGACCACAAAAAGGGCAUUUCAGUGUAAAAAUGUGCUGGACCACUGCUUCUUUCGGCCAUUUUUCCUAGUGUGAAGGAUUCUAAUCUCCUGAAUGCCAAAAAACAGGGAGAGAGACAAAUAGCACCUGCCCAAGCCACCAUCAUUGCCAGUUGGUAGUUCCAAGUGCAUCAGUCAGACAACAAACAAACACUGAUAGCACAAGCCGAGUUACAGCCCGAAAAAGGCAUGUGAUUCUCAUGGCUUCAAAUGCAGUUUACUUAUUAUUUGCUAUGGGUUAAGAGCAAGAAAAGAGAGAAAAAUGCCAGACAUCACAUAUCAAUGUAUUUAUUUCUGAUCUUUUAUUAUAUAUAUUGUCUAUUUAUUUUACAUUGUAACACUGAUUUCUCUCAUGUUUUUCAGUGGAAACUAAGAUGGGGAACAAGGAAAGAAUAGUACCAUGCGUCGAACGCCUUUUAAGUUACUGUGCAUUCUGUAGGAAGGCCCUGGGGGAACCGCCCUGUAUCAGCGCAGUAGUUGUAAAUCAUGUAGUUGUCCUCAACCCAUUUCAUCUUCUGCUGGUCCUUGAAAUCAAGCACUUGUGAGAGCCAUGGAGGAGAGUCCCAACUGCAAGAAGAUGUUCCAGAAUACAAUAUACAAGCAUCAGCAUUCAAGCUCCUAAAGGAAGCCGUGAAAGGAGCUUGGCUCCAGUGAGUCUUGACAAGGCCCCCCUCUUGUUGCCCAGUCAUCUGCAAUCCAUAAACUGGAGUAUAUCCCCAUAGGCUGGCUCUGUGGGAAGGGAAUGAGAGAGAUGCCAUUUUUUAGGAAAAAGGAAGGGUAAUAAUAUCCAAAAUGGGUCAUUUUAGGUUAUUAUUCCAAUUUCAAAAGUAUUUAAAAUCUUUUAACCAAAUAUAUAAUUUUUUUAAUUAUGGAUAAGACUUUUAAAAUCUCUUUGACCGCCAUAUAUGUAUUCAGAAAUCCUGAUAUUUAGAAAACUCUUUUAAUAUUUUUAACAUCUAAAAUUUAUUAUUAUUUAAGUGUUAGAAAUACUAAAACGUUUUUUAGAAUCACUUAAAUAUGCAUUAUUAAUAGAUUAAUGUUUAAGUGGAUUCUACUGUAGCUGCUUCUGGUUUGUACUAAAGGAAAUCCUUUUCAAUGUACCUUCUGUUCUUUGUCUAGUACUUUGAAAGGAUCCAUGAUAUGAGGUUGACACACUGUUACAUGCCAUUUAUGGAGAAAGUGAUCUUUUAUUGUAUGUAUAUAUACAAUGUAAACAAUGUGGUAUUUCUGUUCUUCUAAUGGCGAUUAAAAUGAUUAAGAAUGAAAGAAUUGAAUUUUGAAAUUACAGAAGCAAACAAUGAAGUGAAUGGCCUUAAGGUUGUGUUUCCUCUAUGACAUGGUGGUGGUAGUGCAUUCAGGAGGAAGGCCCUGUGGGAAUCGCUUGGUGUCAGAGCAGUAAUUGUAGAUCAUGUAAUUCUUCUGCACCCAUUUCAUUCUCUCUUGGCUUGUGGAAUCAAGCUCUUGUGAGUACCACUCUGUAUUGGUGGAGGUAGAAGUGGGAGUAUUUGAACUGCAAGAAGAAGCUCCAGAAGACCAGAUGCAAGCAUCUGCAUUGAAGUUCCUAUAGGAAGCAGUGAAGGGAGCUUGGCUCCAGUCUGUCUUGACAAGCCCACCUCUUGUUGCCCAGUCAUCUGCAUUCCAGAGACUGGAGUAUAUCCUCAUGGGCUGGUUCUUUGGGUAUGAAACACCGAUUGACUCAGAGUUCUUGAACUCCCUGAUGGGGGUGCCAUCCACAGAGAAGCUGAAACAGAGAUACCCCAGAUGAGUAAAUCAAUACAAAAACCCAAAAAACAUAAACCAGAUUGCAGUAUUGGAGAUUAGAAUAAUAGCACUUACAUAAUCCGCUGGGGAUUCCAAAGUAUGGAAUAGGUAUGGAAAUCAGCAGUUGGGUCAAACCAAAGGUAGAACUGCUGUUCUCUGUUUCCCUUGCCUUGGCUGAACACAUUAGUGUGAAGAAUGUAUGGAUCACCACUGAGAUUGCCCAGGAAUUCGAAGUCGAUUUCAUCAUGGGUUGGCCCUUGUGAAGAUAACUGCAAAUACACACAUACAUAAAUAAGAACUAUAUACUAAUCAGGAGAACAAAUUGUCAUCAAAUGGAGGAUGAUGUGCAACAAGUACUAUGAAAGGCGGGCUUACAUAAUAGGCAGUGACAGUGCCAGCAGAGUUUCCAGGAACAAGUUUGAGCUGCAUAUCAAUCUUGCCAAACAGAUACUCGUUCUUGGACUGGAAACCAGAUCCAGAGGUCUUGUCAAGGGAAAGAGUGAGAAGCUCUCCAUUGUUGAGUAUCUUAGCACGCCCGUCUCCCCAAGUGAUGUCAAAGUCUUGGUAGAAGUUACCUGCUGAGGCAGCCAUUAAGAAGCUCGCCACUACAGAGAUUAGCAGGGCUGUUGAAACAACUGAAAAAGAAGAAUAGAUGGGUGCCAUUGGCGGAUACGCUGUAUGGUUGGUCAGAGGUGUUUGAAGAGAAGAAGUUUGAAUUUAGUGACUUGAAAUUGAUCUCUCAGAGCUCCAAUUUAUACUUGGUGGGAGAGAUAUAGUGAGAUUGAGAGGGUACUGCUGGGAAGGUUCAAAGUGGGAGAACAAAGAAUGAGUUGUAUACAGAUGGCAGUGACAACCAUAUCUACAAAUGGGCUUCCACCUCCCCCCUAAUACUUUUUAAAUCAUCAGAAUCACACGGUUUUGCAAUAGAAAAGUAUUCAGGAAGUACCAUAGUUUUUAACUUCUGCCGCGUCUACCUGUCUCCCCCCCACCUCCCCCACCUCCCCCCAAAAUUGCUUUUGUCCGUUUCCAAUAUAUCAAACAGUUCAACAAAAAACAGCUCUCCAGUGUAAAAAUGUGCUGGACCAGAGCUUCCUACAUACAUCACUCCACCCACUGUCUUUCUAUGUCUAGAAAUCCUAAAUGCCAAAACAGGGAGAGAAAGAUAAGUAGCACCUGCCCAAGCCAUCAUCAUGCCCAGUUGUAAUAAAAAACAGCCCACCGUCUUUCGAAGUGCUUUUAUUGGAAACGUUCUUUCUAAAAGUACUUUUUGGGAAAAUCACAUGAAAAUGAUUUUUUAAUUUUUUAAAAGUGAUUUCUAAAUUUUAUCAAAUAUUUUAUUUUUUUCAAAAAUACUUUUAAAUUAGAAAUAAUAUUUAAAAAUAUUAUCAAACAUACACUUUAAGUUUUGACACUACAUCUUUUUUUUUUUUUUUAGAAUAUUGCUAUCUUUUAUAAUUAACUACCAUCUUUUAUAUUUUAGAGUAUUAACUUUUUAUUAUAUCUAUUGUUUUUAGAUUUAUAAGUCAUUAUGUACAAGUACUAUAUGAUACAAAUAUAAUAUUUUUUAUAAAUUAAUAAAUAUUUAUUUAUCAAUAAAUUAAUAAAUUAUUCAUUUAUAAGUAAAUCAACAAUUUAUUAAGAUUAUGUUUGGUUUUUGGAAAAUACUAAGGAAAGAAAAAAAAUGUAAAGGAAAAUAAUUUUUUCAUGUUUGAUUGUCUUAUAAAAAAUAUAAAAGAAAAUCAAAUAUAAUUAAAACUAAUUAAAAACUUAUAUAUUUUUAAAUUAUUUAAUUUUUAUAUUGAUGAGUUAAAAUAAAUAAAAUGAGUUUGAAGUAACAAAAAAAUAAUUUAUCAACUUUUAAUUUAUUUUUUUAUUUUUAUUCACUUUUUCUUUCCUUUUACUUUUUCUUUGUAUUUUCUUUCCCGUUUUCUUCAAAUUUUAUGGAACCAGGUGAUAAUUUUUCUUGGUCUCAAGAAUAGGGUUCUUAUUGAAGUUUUAAAAAGCAUACUACAAAAUUCACAGGUGGCUUAGUAUUCAUGAAUCAUAUCUCUUGUAAUAGUAACUAAUAAUCAAUCUAUCUUUCAUCAGAGAGUGAAUCAGACUCAAAAGCCAGUGAGGGAAAUGAUUGCUUUUAUGGCCAAUUAACUAUAGGGAUCAUGGAUUUGGGGGAGAAGGUUUCAUUUAGGUUAAUUUGAAACAUUGGUGAUUUUUGAUUUGUUUGUUUGCCGCCUUCAUCAUGCAUGGAGCAUUUUGAAUGAUUCAGUGCAUAGUUUUGGUGACUCUUAACUGAAGUUUCUUGCUGUUUGUGAUUGAAGUGGAAAGAAAUUAAGAUUAUUUACUCUUUAAAUUUGGUGUAAGGCCCAAUCCAUAUCUGUCAGAAGUUAAAGAACAAGCAGAAACAGAGAAAGGGCUAGAAGUUACAUUGACAAUGGUUCAUCUCCUCAGUUAUUUUCAACAAUUUUCUUUUCUUUGUCAUUCGUAAAGAAUAUUUUAUUAUUUGUAUUGUGCCAUAUAUUACAAUGUAAACAAUAUAAUAUUUCUGCUGUUGUAAUAGCAACUAAAAUGAUAAAGAAUGAAAGAAUAGAAAUGAAGAAAAUUUCAAAAGCAAACUAUCUGAUUGAAUGGGCUUAGGUUCCAUUCCUUCUAAGACAAGGUGGUGGCAGUGCAUUCAGGAGGAAGGCCUUGUGGGAAUCGCUUUGUAUCUGUGCAGUAAUUGUAGAUCAUGUAAUUCUUCUGUACCCAUUUCAUUCUCUCUUGGCUUGUGGAAUCUAGCUCUUGUGAGUACCACUGACCACUGGUGGAGGUAGAAGAGGGAGUAGUUGAACUGCAAGAAGAUGCUCCAGAAGACCAAAUGCAAGCAUCUGCAUUGAAGUUCCUAUAGGAAGCAGUGAAGGGGGCUUGGCUCCAGUCUGUCUUGACCAGCCCACCUCUUGUUGCCCAGUCAUCAGCAUUCCAGAGGCUGGAGUAUAUCCUCAUGGGCUGGUUCUUGGGAUAUGAAACACCUAUGGACUCAGAGUUCUUGAACUCUCUGAUGGGGGUGCCGUCCACUGAGAAGCUGAAACAGAGAUACCCCAGAUGAUUGAGCCAAUUAAGAAACCAAAAAAAAAAAAAAAACAUAAACCAGAUUUCACUAUUGGGGAUUAAUUACUGUACUACUUACAUAAUCCGCUGGGGGUUCCAAAGGAUGGAAUAGGUGUGGAAAUCAGCAGUUGGGUCAAACCAGAGGUAGAAUUGCUGCUCUCUGUUGCCCUUGCCCUGGCUGAACACAUUAGUGUGAAGAAUGUAUGGAUCACCACUGAGAUUCCCCAAGAAUUCGAAGUCUAUCUCAUCAUGGGUUGGCCCUUGUGAAGAUAGCUGCAAUUACACAAACCAGAAUGGUGAUUUGUGAGUCAGGAGAAGAUGAAACCAAGAAAGCAUUUGAUGGAAAAGCACUUGGUAAAGAGGAGGCUUACAUAGUAGGCAGUGACAGUGCCAGCUGAGUUACCAGGCACAAGCUUCAGCUGCAUAUCAAUCUUUCCAAACAGAUACUCAUUCUUGGACUGGAAGCCAGAGCCAGAGGUUUUGUCAAGGGAGAGAGUGAGAAGCUCUCCAUUGUUGAGUAUCUUGGCACGGCCAUCACCCCAAGUGAUUUCAAAAUCCUGGUACAAGUUACCAACAGAAGCAACCACAAAGGAACCGAGCAGAAGAGAGACCAAGAACAACUUUGGUGAAAGAUUCCAAGUAGAAGGAGAAGCCAUUGAAUGUGAAUUUAGAGACGAGAAAUGGAAGUAGUUUUGAGCGUGGAAGUGAAGAGAAUGGCGUGGGUAUGUGGGGGUUUUAUAGUAGGUGUCGUGGGGGAAAGUGGAAGGAGAUCGAGAAGAAGGUUCAGUCAGCAGCUGUACACGGUUGAAGAUGUAAAGACAACAGUUGUCAUCAAAUAGCAAAACCCAGUUCAUUUUCACGCGGAUUUUGCAUGGAUUUAAAAGAGAAAAGUGCAGAUCCACUUUCCCAUUUCCCAAGCACCAUUCAUCGCUCAUAACUAAAGCCACCACCGCCACUGAGUAAAAAACAAAAGCGAAUCAAACCCUUGAAACCGUGUCUCUCAUUAUUAUUUUUCAUCUCCAGUUGUAUCCGAAAAAGAAUCACCAAGCCCACAAAUAAAGUCAUAAUAGUAGGAGCCAGUAACAGCCCAAAAGCUCUGUGCUUCGAUGAAACCACCAUCUACUUGGUUUCCUGAAAAGAACUACUCACUGCCCUCUGCUCAACUAAUUUUUAAUUGUGAUGGGUUGGCUUAGAGUUUAAAUUUUAAAACUCAUGGAUCAAGGGGUGGGCCAUGUGCUUGAAGGCUUAAACCAACUGGUUACGAUAUUUCUUUUGGACAAUGUUAGAAUAUCUUAUACUAAUGCGGUGUUUGUUUUUUUACUUAAUUUUAAAUAGAAUCUUAAUACUUAAUAAUGUUAAAUAUUAAAUUAUUUAUUUUUAUAGUAUUUUAUUUUUAUUAAGUAUUAAAAAUUAAAAAAAAAUCAAUAUAUUAUUUUUUUUAUUUAAAAAAAACUACAUAUUUUUUAUUUAGUAAAAUGUUUAUAAUAAGUUAUGAAAAAAUAGAAAAUCAAACAACCUAAAUUUUGAAAACAAAUUACUUUUAGUAAAAAAAAAAAAAAAAAAUACCACCUAAGUAUCUUACUUCUUGAGCCAUUAUUUUGAUGACGUUGACAUUGUUACAAUUGCCAAUAGCUUUUUAUAUGGUUCAAGUCAAACCAACAGGUCACAAAUCAACACAAUUUAAGCAUUAUUCAAAACUGUUUUAAGGAUAGAUUUUCAAAACUCUUCUAUAAAGAAUAAAAAUUUGUUUGAGAAUUUAAAAUAUUUUUUUUAUAACUUUCAAUAUUUUAAAAAUAAUUUAUUUUUAAUCAUUAUUUAUAUUUGUAUAAUUAUUUUUUAAAAUAAUUUUUGAAAAAUAAGCCAAAACAAUUGAAAUAAUUAAAAGAUAUUAUUUGAAACCAAUUUUUAGAAAUAUAAAACUAUCUUUUUUUAAUAUUUGGUUGUUAAACAUGUUUUCCUCUUCUUUUUUUAUUUUUAUUUUUUUUUAUCAUGGAAACAUAAAACCAUUUUAAAAAGUAAUUUCCAAAUAAUACCUAAAUCUUGGGUGACAACAUUAUGUUUACUAAUUUCGGUAGGGAAAGGAGGGCAGCUGUUGAAAAAGAGGUCAUAUUUUUUAUUUUCCUUAUUAUUUUUCAAAACCAAAUAUAAUGUAGAAACAAUAGUAUUGUGAUUUCACUCUCUUCGUUACUUUGUGGGGUUCAACAUUGAGGUUGAGAUAAUGAUAUACAUGCCAUUCAUUGAGAAAGUAAUCUUUGUUGUAUUCAUGUAUUACAUUGUCAACAAUGUGGUGUUUCUGAAAUUCUGAUGGCAACAAAAACGAUAAAGAAUGAAAGAAUAUAAUUUUGAAAUUAUAGAGGCAAACAACGAAGUGAAUGGCCUUAGGUUCUGUUCCCUCUAGGACAUGGUGGUGGCAGAGCAUUCAGGAGGAAGGCCCUGUGGGAAUCUCUUUGUGUCUGCGCAGUAAUUGUAGAUCAUGUAAUUCUUCUGCACCCAUUUCAUUCUCUCUUGGCUUGUGGAAUCUAGCUCUUGUGAGUACCAUCCCCCAUUGGUGGAGGUAGAAGAUGGAGAGGUUGAACUGCAAGAAGAUGAUCCAGAGGACCACAAACAAGCAUUGGCAUUGAAGUUCCUGUAGGAGGCUGUGAAUGGUGCUUGGCUCCAGUCUGUCUUCACAAGCCCGCCUCUUGUUGCCCAGUCAUCGGCAUUCCAGAGACUGGAGUAUAUCCUCAUGGGCUGGUUCUUCGGGUAUGGGACACCUAUGGAUUCAGAGUUCUUGAACUCUCUGAUGGGGGUGCCAUCCACAGAGAAGCUGAAACAGAGAUGCCCCAGAUGAGCAAAUCAAUACGAAAACCCAAAAAACAUAAACCAGAUUGCAGUUUUGGAGAUUAGGAUAAUAGUACUUACAUAAUGCGCUGGGGAUUCCAGAGGAUGGAAUAGGUGUGGAAAUCAGCAGUUGGGUCGAACCACAGGUAGAACUGCUGCUCUCUAUUUCCCUUGCCUUGGCUGAACACAUUAGUGUGGAGGAUAUAGGGGUCCCCACUGAGGUUCCCCAGGAAUUCAAAGUCGAUUUCAUCAUGGGUUGGCCCUUGUGAAGAUAACUGCAAUUACACACAUACAUGAAUGAGAACUACAUACUAAUCAGGAGAACAUAUCAUCAAAUGGAGGAUGAUGGGCAACAACUAAUAUGAAUGGGGAACUUACAUAGUAGGCUGUGACAGUGCCAGCAGAAUUUCCAGGGACCAGUUUGAGCUGCAUAUCAAUCUUGCCAAAGAGAUACUCAUUCUUGGACUGGAAACCAGAUCCAGAGGGCUUGUCAAGGGAAAGAGUGAGAAGCUCUCCAUUGUUGAGUAUCUUACCACGUCCAUCCCCCCAAGUGAUAUCAAAGUCUUGGUAGAAGUUACCUGCUGAGGCAGCCAUUAAGAAGCUCACCACUACAGACAUUAGCAGGGCUGUUGAAACAGCUGAAGAAGAAGAACAGAUGGGUGCCAUUGAGGGAUAUGCUGUAUGGUUGGUAGGAGGUGUUUGAAGAGAAG